UGUUUUAUCUUCAAUACAUGACAAAGAAAACAAUCCAAGAACCACAAAUGCAGGAACAAGUACAAAAAGCCUUAUGAAACCCAGACGUAUGUCUGUUGCAGUCAGACCUCCUCCUCCAAUUUCAGCACAGGUUUUUCAGCCUAAGAGACGGGUCUCCAUUGCUACCUAUCGUUUAGAGCCAACCUCAAACAUGACACCUCUUCAAACCUCGCAAUAUAAAAAUGGGAAUGUAGUUGGCAGGCAGUCAUUUGUCAGGGACCCAAGAAAGCCAAGGAAUUCAAAGCUGUUCUCUCCGUUGCCAGAGUUCAGGACUGCAUCGGAGACCACACCUACUGUUAUGAGAACCAGUAGUAAAUUCAUGGGGAGUCCUCCACCACAAGCAGGUUCUUGGAAGCCAAAGCACCCAACUGCUGUUGCACUGCAACGAAAAUCUCUGGUGUGGAGCCCGCUAAAGUUAAGGAGCUAAUGAGGUGCAAUAAAACUUAGUCUUCAUUUUCAUGAUAAAUAGUUGGAGUAUACUUUUUUUUUCUUGAUUCCCCUCUUCCCAUUUUUCUUACAUGAAUUUUAUCAUUUCUCCUCUGGAUAUUAAUCGCAAUUGUAUGCUACUUGCCUACUCAUUCGCUGUUGUAUGUUAUUUGCUUUCCUACAUGAGUCAACAACUCCAUUCAACAGUGAGAAACACAGAAAAAAAAACACACAUAGGAGUUUUUCGAUGCUUUAACUCAUCUUGGCUAGUGGGACAUCCUGCUUUUUGACUCAUUUAUACACCUGUGUUUAACACAAGAUAGAGCUCUACAUCAACAAUUGAUAGAUACACUUCCUCUCCAGUCUCAUCAAUUAUUUAAGAUAAGAGAAUGAUUGCUAUUAUCGACCAUCUUCCUCUCCAGUCUCUGUCUCAACUAAAAAUAGUUUAAGCAAAAGUCAUGUUAAUUCCCAGUAAUCCAAUCAACUGCUUUCGAGUUCUCCUAAUAAUUUAAGAUACACUUUAAAUUUAAUUGAUAUUAUUGUUUUAAGUAUCAACAAUUAUUGUUUUUUAUCUGUUCGUAAACAAUAACAUAACAAAGGCUAGAGUGUGAGUGGAUGUAUCGCAACCUGUCAAUAACUUCAAGCCACAAAAUCUUAAUUUAAACCAAAACGCAACAUCUUGCAUGAUUUAAGAUUCAAUCGUAAAAAGGACAUGUUACUAAUGAGAUUAAGUAUCUAUUUGUUUUUGUAUUUUAAAAGUAUUUAAAAAAAAAUUAUUUUUUUAUUAAUUUCAAAUUAAUAUAUUUUUAGUAUUUUUAAAUUAUUUUGAUAUACUAAUAUUAAAAAUUAUUUAAAAAACAAUUAUUAGUAUAUAUUUUAACCUAAAAAAUUAUUUUAAGCACACUUUUAAUGUCAAUGUUAUUAAAGGACACGUACAAUUAAAGCUCAUUUUCAAGCUCACGAUAUACUUUUUGAGAGUUAGCUAGCCACGAGUGUGACCUACCAGCUAGAUGGCCAUACUCCUUGACGUGCCUAAUCAGUCAUAAAUAAUGUAGUUUUUAAUUGAAAAAUGAUAAAUAAUAAGGAAAAUUUGAAAAUAAAAUAAAAAGUAAAUAAAAAUUUAAAAUAAUUUAAAUUAUGUGAUCAAUUCAUAAGAAAAAAAAGAAAAUAGUGUUUAUGUAAAUAAUAUAAAACAAUAAUAGAUCUUUAAAUGAACUAAAUAAUAAAGAGGUAAAGUAAAUAUGUUUUGAAAUAAAAAUAUAAUCCUAAAAAUUUAGUAGAAUAAUACGAUUUAUGCAAGGAUAAUACAAAAAAAACUUAGAUGUUGAUAUAAAAUUAUUUAUAAAUUAGUUUUAUUCUAUGAAACAUAACUUUUAAUUUAAUUAUUAAAUAAAAAUAAAUUUUUUUAAAAAAUCUUCUAACAUAUUAUUUUAUUAUAAGUUAAAAUUUUAAAUCAAGUUCAGAAAAAUUGUACAAGAAUGUCAGCAGCAUUCGGACAAAAAAAUAGCAUGUAAACUUAUUAAUGGUAUUUUUGUAAAUAAACUAGAUGAGCUGGAAAUUUCAGUUUCUUCUUCUCCUGGGCAAUCCCUACAGAAGACAUUGUCCUUUUUUGUAUUGUGCUUCUAACAUGUCUUGAGAAAUGGGUUAUUCUCCAUCAUUAAUUACUACUAUCUCUUAUAUCAAACACUUUUUCAUGAUCCCCCUCUCAAAGAAGUAGCUCCUCCUUACUAGAAAAUUAAUUGUGAAUUUUGAACAUUAUCGGCUAUGUAUGGAUGUAUAUAGUGAGUUUUUUUUUUAUUAUUCUUUUUAAAUGCAUUUGUUUUUUCAUUUUCAUCCAUUAAUAUUAGAUUAAUUAAGAAUUAGAUUUCAUAAUUUAUUUCGGUUUGUUUUCUAUAAAAAUAGCCCGACUUCAUAACUCGAGUCACAGGUUUGAUUGGAUAGCUCAGGUUAAAUCAAGUGGCUUUUUCAUGUAUUUUGUUAAUUGUUUUUUUUUACAAUUUUUUUUUAAUUUUAGGUUGAUUGGAAAUUGAGUUUUCAAUAUUAGACAAUUAUCUAGUAUUAACUUUAAACUAAAAGAGGAGAGGUUUUUAUUGUACCCUUCGCCACUAAGCACUAUUCAUUGGAAUAAUGAUUUGCUUAUUUUUUUCUAUACUUUUUUUUUUCGAUCAAUGUUUUUUUUUUUAAUUUCAUCAUUUAAUAUUAGAUUAUUAUUUUUAUUGAGUUAUUUCACUUUCAUGAUACAGAUUGCUGGUCUAGCGGGUUAACCCGGUUACCUCAAUUUUUUGCUUUAAUUUCAUCAUUUAAUAUUGGAUUGAUCUGAAAUUAGAUAUUAUGAUUUGUUUUGUUAACUUUCUAUUGUGUUAUUUUAGUCUCAUGGCCGGAGAAUCGUGCUUAAUGAGUUAACCCGAGUUGACUCAAAUAGUUUUUUAUGUUUUUUUUAUUGUUUUUUUUUCAAUUUUAUCUUUCAACACUAAGUCAGUUGGAAAUUGAUUUUUUUAUAUAUAUAUAUAUAUAUAUAAUUAUUUACUUUCUAUAGAGAUAUCAAGGUUGCAAGUUUUGGUAUUUUAACACUGGUGAAAUCGAGUCAUUUUUAUUUUCUUUUUAGAAGGUUAUCUUGGUCUCAUGACUCGGGUCACAGAUCCUUCAAUAUUGAAUUUGCUUUUUAUUGGUUUGUCCUCAUCUCAUGACUUGAGUUGUUGGUUUGGCAGGUUAACUUAAUUGACUUAGUUUGUUUGGCAGGCUUUACGAUUUAUUUUGGUUUGUUUUUUAUUAGGUUAUCUCAAUCUCAUGACCCGGGAAUAGUGUUUAACAACUUCAUCCAAGUUGACUUAACUUAUUUUUAUAUCAUUUUUUAAUUAUUUUUUUUAUAAACUUCAUCGUUCAACAUUGAGUCUGACAAGAGUGAUUGAUAAUUGAACUUCAUAAUUUAUUUUGAUUUGCUCUUUAUGAGGUUAUCUAAGUCUUAUGAUUAAAGUCAUGGAUUUGGCAAGUUAAUCUAAAUUAAGUGAAGUUGUUUUUUUUUUUUUUUAUGUUCUUUUUAUUAUGUUAUCUCAAUCUGAUGUCCCAGGUUAUUGGUUUUGUUGAUUGUCUCGUGUUGUUUUUUAUCUUGAUUUUUUAAUCUCAUCUUUCAACAUUAUAUUAAUUGGUAAUUGAAAUCUGUAAUUUAUUUAGAUUUAUUUUUCAUUGCGUUAUCUCGGUCUUAUGAUCCGGGUCGCGAGUUUGACAGGUUAAUCCGGAUAUUGUUUUUAGGUCUUUUUUUAAUUAAUUUUUUUUCAAUUUCAUCUUUUAAUAUUGAAUGAAUUAGAAGUUAAACUUCAUAAUUUACUUUGAUUUUCUUUCCACUAGGUUGUGGUUUACUUCUUAUGUCUUAUCAUUAACUUGUUCGAUCUUGCAUUGAUUCUGCAGUGUCUUGGAGGUGCCUUACGAUUGUGCAGCUGAGGCAGACUUGCUGUAUUCCCUAAUCGUUAAAGCUAGGUUCUAGAACAAUCGAUUCCAGAAGCCAACGAAGCAACCAAAGAUUUCAAGCAAACAUGUCGAUUGGUUUUGAUAUUGAAACACCCAUUACAUUCGUAUUGACAUUUUCACUUUCAGAUUUUGUGUUCUGCUCAGGACUCAAAACUCAACACUAAAUAUGAAGGAUUUGUAUGGUAUAUUUGGAGUUCAGGCAUGUCAAAGUUCCAUGUUUUUGUUCUUUUGGGGAUGUAUGGUUUGUACUCGUAUUAACUUUAUGUUCAUUGUGAAUGAAACCAAAGUACAGUAUAAAAACUCUAUUUUCAUGACUAUGGUAAGUAUCUUCUGUCCAAAGGAAGGUGUCAUGGCAUGUAUAUUUCAAAUUACCUGUCGAGGUUCAGACAGUUAAAAUCUUAUGCAUCUGCAUUUCUACACUGGAAAUUAUCACUCUAAGUUCUAAAGUCUAAUUUCCACUGAUAUAGACCUAUAUCAAACAGGUGGGAAAAGAGGAUUAAGGAGUAAUGUAUCCUUUAAGUUCUCUGAAUGAUGUGUCCCCUACUUCCUUGAGUGACAUGAAGGAUUUGUAUGCUAUCUUUGCAGUUGAAUAUGUCAAAAACUAUGGUGAGAAACUUCUGUCAGAAGAAGGCUGUCAUGUAUCUUGUGAAUCUGCAUUUCUACACUGGAAAUUAUUUACUCUUAAGAUCAAAAGUCUAAUAUGAAAUGGAAAUAAUAAAUUGUGGACCACUGGUGGGAAAAGAGGAUUGGGGAGUGAAGACCAUGGAAUACUUAUCUAGAUUACUGUGGAAGUAAAGUGAUGUGGUUGUCAAUGACAAUGGACAAAGUAUGACAGCUUCACCUAAUUAUCAUCGCCAAGAAGGUAGGAAAAAAGCAUCCACUUGCAAGAAUUUAAUGGCUGUGCCAGUGUUCUGUCUCAUCUUUUUUCUCAUGCCAGGAGCAUCGGCAUUUGUUUGCAAUUUUACUGAUUGUGAAGCUCUUCUCAAAUUCAAGGCAGGCAUAACAAGUGAUCCGGAAGGAUACGUCAAGGAUUGGAAUGAAGCCAAUCCUUUCUGUAACUGGACCGGAGUUACAUGCCACCAAUCUCUCCAAAACCGGGUUAUAGAUCUUGAGAUUACAGACAUGCGCUUAGAAGGAAGUAUAUCGCCAUUUCUAUCCAAUCUCUCUCUUCUCACCAAGCUUUCCUUUCAGGGUAAUAAUUUCCGUGAAGAAAUCCCAACUACCUUGGGAGCACUCUCACAGUUAGAAUAUCUGAAUAUAAGUGAAAAUAAGCUCUCUGGUGCCUUGCCAGCUUCACUACAAGGCUGUCAAAGCUUGAAAUUUCUAGACUUGUCUGUUAACAACCUAUCUGGGGUCAUUCCUGAAGAACUAGGAUGGAUGAAGAAGCUGAGUUUCUUAGCUCUCUCUGUAAACAACCUCACUGGGGUCAUUCCGGCCUUUUUGUCAAACCUGACAGAAUUGACACAGCUACAACUGGCUGUGAACUACUUUACUGAGCAAAUCCCUGUGGAGCUUGGAGUUUUGAGCAGGCUUGAGAUUUUGUAUUUGCACACGAACUUUCUUGAGGGAACAAUACCUGAAUCACUAAGUAAUUGCACUGCAUUGAUUGAGAAUCGAUUAUCCGGGGAAAUCCCUUCAGAGAUGGGGAACAAGCUCCAAAACUUGCAGAAGUUGUAUUUUAUGGACAACAAUAUUUCUGGUAGGAUUCCGGUGACAUUAUCAAAUCUUUCACAGAUAACACUGCUUGAUUUGAGUAUCAAUUACUUGGAGGGUGAAGUUCCCGAGGAACUGGGGAAGUUGAAGAACCUUGAGAUUCUUUACCUCCAUAGCAACAACCUGGUUAGCAAUUCUUCUCUCAGUUUUCUUACUGCUCUCACAAACUGUUCAUUUAUGAAGAAACUGCACUUGGGCUCCUGUUUAUUUUCUGGGAGUUUACCUGCUUCCAUCGGAAAUCUUUCGAAAGACCUCUACUAUUUCAAUCUUUUGAAUAACCGUAUAAGAGGAGAGAUUCCAGGUAGUAUUGGAAACUUGAGUGGCCUCGUGACCCUACAACUGUGGUACAAUCACUUGGACGGGACAAUUCCAGCAACUUUUGGAAAGCUGAAGCUGUUGCAAAGACUAUAUUUGGGGAGAAACAAGCUACAAGGUUCCAUUCCAGAUGAAAUGGGGCAGAUGGAAAACCUUGGCUUACUUGAUCUUGCCAAUAAUUCCAUAACCGGGUCAAUCCCUUGUUCACUUGGUAACCUCUCACAGUUGAGAUACCUUUACCUAUCUCAGAACAGCUUAUCAGGAAAUAUUCCCAUCAAACUCAGCCAGUGCAUGCUCUCUCAUGAUGCAGCUGGAUUUAUCUUUUAACAGCUUGCAGGGGCCUCUUCCACCAGAAAUUGGAGUUUUUGCUAACUUGGGGCUCUCCCUCAACCUUUCAAAUAACAAUCUAGACGGGGAAAUACCUGCAACUAUUGGAAAUCUGGUAUCUGUACAAGCUAUUGACUUAUCGGUGAACAGAUUUUCUGGCAUUAUACCAAGUUCAGUUGGAAGUUGUGGUCAAAAAUCAAAAGGGCACACAGCAAGUCAAGCGUCCUGUAAUGCUUUAACUCUUUUUGGCCAGUGGGAUUUGCUACUUUUUAACUUAGCGGUGAGGAAAAGUUGCUAGUCUAAGUAAAGAAAAAGGAAAAGAAGAUAGAUGACUAAUCUUUUGGAAUUGAGGUUGAUUUUUGUUAAUUUUUGUUAAAAUUUGGAUUUGUUUAGUGUUGUUAAAAUUUAGAUUUGUUUAGUGUUUUUGAAUUAUGUCAAAAUAAUUUUUAAAAAAUAUAUAUUAUAUUAAUAUAUUUUUAAAUAAACACUUUAAAAACCAAACUUUAAAUGAUUCCGGAAUUUCCGUGGGGCUUCCUUAAUGGGUUGUGAAAAUCUUUUUUGAAGAAAGGUUUAUGAGAUAUUGUGUUGUUAAGGACUGGUUCUGAAUUUGUACCUACCGAUAUAUAGAUUCCAAGAAACCCUCCAAUACUGUGUUUGAAAUAAAGAUGAUGAGAGGAUCAAUGUGAACUCCCCCUUAAUUGUGAGUUGGCUAGCCCUUAUAUAACUGGUAGAAUUUCUUCCUGUUCGUUCUUUGCUAUAGCAUCGUUUAAAUUGUUUUGAUCUUCUCUUAUUGUCUGAUUUUUUCCAGUUGGUGUUUUUUAACGAAUAUUCAUCGACAUGGCUUUUAAUUACUAGUUACAUUUUACUGAUCAUUAUAAUCGUUUGUUUUCUUGUUGCUUGUUACAGGGUGUUGUUAUCUAUUUUUUGGGUUUUCACAAAACAAAAUGAGAAAAUACAAAAAAAAUAUAUAAAAAAAUAUUCAGAAAAAAUUCAAAAAAUAAUAAGAGCGAGAAAAAGAUAUUGAAAUACCAAGAAAGGCCAAAAUUGGUUAAGGAGGUUUAAAAAAAUACAAAAAAUUAAAAUUUAACAGUAUAUUUUUGACUUAUGAAAGCCCUGUUGACAAAGAAAAUUUAAGUUGAGGAAGAAAAGUCCAAAAUCAAAUGUUUAUGGACUCAAUUAAAUUUUAUCUAAGAUUUAAUUGAAUUUAUGGAGGGUUGGAUUGUAAGAAAAUUAAUUUUUAAGUUAUUUUAGGUUUUUAUUAGAAGAAAUUAAAGUUAUGGGGUGCAAUUAUAAUUGUGAAGAAUUGAUUUGAUCAAAUCAGGGGCUUAAUUGCAUACUUAUUGAAGUUUGAUAGCCAAUUAGGAAUUUAAUUGAAAUAAUCCAAAACCAAGGACCAAAUUGGAAAAGUCACUAAAAUAAAAGGAUCCAAUUACAACAUUUCCAGGGGGGCUUGAUUACAAAAAUGUAAAAACAUCCAAGGACCAAAUCAGAAAUAUCAUUUAAAGUUGCAAAAUGGUGCCGUUUCAAGGCACUAUUCAUUGCCUUCUCCACCGAUUUAGCAUACAGGAACCGUUUCAGCAACAAAUGCUGCAGAUCAUGGGAAACGUUUCACAGCUACUAUUUCUCUACCGUUACCGCUGUAAUAAUGGGGCUGAACGUCUUCAUCAUAAAGAAAAAUGCAUGCAGUUUUGGCUAUAAAAAGAGAUGGGGGGCAACGAGACACGGAGGGGGGAAAAAGAGGAGGAGACAGAGAGAGGAGAGAGGGCAGAGAAGAGAGGCUACAGUGAAGAAAAAAAGAGGAGUGUGACAGCUGAGAAGAACGUAAGAAAAGUGAGAGAGUGGAGAAAUAGUGAGCAAGCAUAAGGGAGAGAAGAGGAAUGAGAGAAAGAGGCAAACCGGACGGAAGUAGAGGACACGGUGAAGCAGAGAACACAGCACCACCAUCGUCUUCGUCUUCUCAAAACCAGGUAUGUUCGAUGCCCUUCUCCGUUUCCCUGCAAAAAUGAGAUGAUGCAUGUUAUUAUGUAAAAUACAGAAAGAAAACACAAGGAAACCGACACCAGAAAUCACCAGUUGCAAUACUCUGUUUUGUUUUUUUUUCAUUCUCGCACUGCAACAAAGAUGAUUAACAGAGCGAAGGUAAUUUAAUUACCUUCGCCCUGUUCAUGCACGAUUAAAUAUAUUAUGGUGUCAUUAGAUACAAAUACGCCUUGUAGUCUAGGUGGUAAGCUUACUUGGCUUUCAUCAAGGGAAUUCUUUUUGAAGGUGGUCACUGGCAUGGGCCAGUGACCACGCUAGGCUGGCUAAAUCCAGCCCAGCUACGCAGGUUGGCUGGGUCCAGCCCAGCCACAUGGGCCGGGUUGGGCCCAGCCCGAAAAAUUAAAAAAUUUGAAAAAAUUCUUUUUUAAAAUUUUUUGAUUUUCCGCAAGUAUUUUACUGCAUUUUGAUCAAUAUUGGUUUGUAUUUUUAUAUUGUAACGAUACAAAUCCGGUAUUAAAUACCUGGUUUUCAUCAAAAAAAAAAAAAUGUUUUGUUUUCAUGUAUACAGCCAAGUCUCUCAAAAAUAAAUCAUAUUAUAUUUUCAUAUAUAUAUAUAUAUAUAUAAAUAAAAAUUCAAAAAUAUGUAUUAGCAUGCAUUUUGGUUAUAAUAAUUAGUUUAUUCAAGUCAUGAGAACUAGGCCAAUAUUUCAAAAAAAAAUAUUUUGUUUUCUCUUAAUAUCUGGGUUUACAACCUUAUACGUAAGACGUAUCCCGGAUAUUAAAAUUCUUUUGUUGACGCCAAAAUUACUCGAUAAGAUAAGGAUCUUCUUACCGAGGAUGACUCUUCUUAAACCAUAGACGGACCAACAACUAGAAAACACGACUCGACCUUAGAUUUUAUCAAACAAUAAAACAAUACAACUUACCUUAGGUAGGGCGUAUUUGAGGUACUAAUACCUUCAUUUUACGCAACCAGUCUCCGUACCUGAUCUCUGAAACCAGUUAGGAUUCCUAGUGAUCAAAAUACUAGGUGGCGACUCUCAUUCUAUUUUUCCACUAAUAAAAGACAAGAAUUUCUUGUCUUCACACAUUUGCUACAUGAGAUAAUAUUUUGAGAGUGCAUGUUUUCACCGCGACGCCGCACAUGUGCGACACAAGGAAUAAUUAUCACGGGUAUAAAGCUUACUUCUACAUAUAUCAAGCAUAUAAAAAUAUGGCUCCCACUCCUGAUCCAUAUUUGAAGCUCGAUGUGUUCCUCAGUACUUUUAGAGGCACCGAUACCCGCAAUAGUUUCACCAGUCAUCUUUAUGAUGCUUUGCAGCGAAGCCAAAUUGAUGCUUACAUCGAUAAUAAACUUGAUGGAGGAGAAAAGAUCGAGCCUACCCUCUAUCGGACAUCAUUGGUGAGUUGAUAUCUCUUUAAGAUCUUUAUCUUUAUUCUUGCUCAAAAUUAGUUAGUCUUCCAAACAGUUUUCGCGAGUUGAAAUCUCUUGCUAAACUUAAUGUUAUUCGUUGCUCAAAACUAGUAAGUUUAUCGGACAAUAUUGGUGAGUUGAAAUCUCUUGUAGAGCUUAAACUUUUUCGUACUCAAAACUAGAAAGUCUUCCAAAUAGUAUUGGCGGGUUGAAAUGUCAUGCAGAGCUUUGUCUUUCUAAUUUUUCAAAGCUAAUAAGUUUACCAUACAGUAUUGGCAAGUUGAAAUGUCUUGUGAAGCUUGAUCUCAGUUAUUUCUCAAAACUUGCAAGUCUAUCGGACUGCUUGGGCGAGCUGAAAUCUCUUGUAUUGCUUCAUAUUUCUUUUUGCCCAAAACUAGCAUGUCUUCCAAACAGUAUUGGUCAGUUGAAAUGUCUCGCAGAGCUUAAUCUUAGUGGAUGCUCAGAACUCUAGCAAAUCUUCCAAACAGUAUCUAUUAUCUGGAAUCUCUUAAAUGGCUUAAGCUAGAACGUUGCUAUAUGCUGAAUAAAUCCCCAGUACUGAACCCGAGGUGUUCAGAAGUAGAAGAAAUAGCAUUUGGUGGAUGUCUCCAAUAUUUGAAUUUGGGGGCCUCUGGCGUGUCAGAAAUUCCCGGUAGCAUAGGCUCUUUGGUGUCACUGAGAGAUUUGAGAUUAUCUUGUAAUGAUUUUGAGAGGAUACCUGCAAACAUCAAGCAACUUCCCAUGCUAAUUAAACUCGAUUUGCAUGGUUGUGAGAGGCUUCAACAUUUACCAGAGCUUCCAUCGAGUCUACAGGUUUUAAUCGCGUCAUAUUGCAUCUCUCUAAGAUCAUUAGCAAGUAUAUUCAUACAAGGUGAGAAAGGGUAUGUAGCUGCUUCUCAGCAAUUCAGUUUCUCUAAUUGUCUCAAAUUGGAUCAGAAUGCAUGCACUCGAAUUAUGGAAGAUGCCCAUUUAAGAAUUCGACGCAUGGCAUCAUCAUUGUUUAAUCGGGUGAAUUCUUCUUCCCUCGAUCUUGCUUUAAAAAAAAACCAUGAUAAUUUUGUAAAUGUAUCUCACAUUCUCACUCUCUUCGGUGCAGGAAUAUUUUGGUAAGCCAAUUAGAGUUAGGCUGUGUAUUCCUGGGUUGGAAGUCCCGGAGUGGUUCUGUUAUAAAAAUACAGAAGGACCUUCAUUAAAUAUUCCGGCUCAUUGGCACCGUACUGCUAACACUGAUCAGUUCUUGGGUUUCACCUUCUGCGCUGUUGUUUCAUUUGGCCACAGUAAGAAAAAGCGUCCCGUUAAUAUUAGAUGUGAAUGCCAUUUGAUAACCCAAGGUGGAAACCAGAGUGAUCUCAAUUUCUACUGCUAUGAAGAAGUUGAAAGAAAGGAGCGGAGUUUAUGGGAAAGGGAUCAUGUUUUCAUCUGGAGUAUCAACUCUAACUGCUUUUUCAAGGAGGCCUCGUUUCAUUUCAAACCACUGUGGGGAACUGAUGAUGUGGUGGUUAAGUGUGGAGUCCAUCCACUGUUUGUCCAAUACUGUUGAUGAAUCCUCUGUUAUUCAAAGAAUGUGUAUGGUGUCCAUGUUCAUGUGUUCAAAGAGCCCCCCUGCCUUCACUUAUGCUUCUUCGGCUGGAACUGUACAGGCGACGUCUCCAGGUUUGUCUACUAUCCAGUGAUCGGAUUUUUGAGUGUCUUUGGUCUCUGCGAGCUAGCCUUUAAAAAAAAAUGCAGCAAGGCAAAUAGAUGAUGCAUAAAGUUUUAAUGGUGUCUUACAGGCUCUUUGAAUUGAUUUAACAAGCAAAAAAAGCCACAGCUGUGGUUUACUUCUUAUGUCUUAUCGUUAAUCCGUUCUUGCAUUGAUUCUGCAGUGUCUUGGAGGUGCCUUACGAUUUUUCAGCCGAGGUAGACUUGCUGUAUUCACUUAUCGUUAAAGCAAUCGAUUCCAGAAGUCAAGGAAGCAACCAGAGACUUCAAGCAUACAUGUUGAUUGGUUUUGAUAUUGAAACACCCAGUACAUUCGUAUUGACAUUUUCACUUUCAGAUUCUGUGCUCUGCUCAGGACUCAAAACUCAACACUAAAGUUCAAUAUGUGAGAUUUUCUGAUAUUAUUCAAUUGUACAUCUCACAACUCCUUGAAUAAUGUAUCGUUUAAGUUCUCUGAAUGAUGUGUCCCCUACUUCCUUGAGUGACAUGAAGGAUUUGUAUGGUAUAUUUGCAGUUUAGGCAUGUCAAAGUUCCAUGUUUUUGUUCUUUUGGGGAUAUUGUAUGGUUUGUACUCCUCUUAUUGACUAUAUGUUCAUUGUGAAUGAAACCAAAGUUGAGUAUAAAAACUCUAUUUUCAUGACUAUGGUAAGAAACUUCUGUCCAAAGAAAGGUGUCAUGUCAUGUAUAUUUCAAAUUACCUGUCAAGGUUCAGACAGUUAAGAUCUUAUGCAUGUGCAUUUCUACACUGGAAAUUAUCACCUAAAGUCUAAUUUCUACUGAUAUAGACCUCUAUCAAACAGGUGGGAAAAGAGGAUUGAGGAGUGGUGUAUCAGACUUCAUUAUUAUUAUUGCUUGAUGACUCGUAUUCAGAUCAUUAAUUACUCACUGUGGCCCUCAACUCAGGUUUCUGACAUGUAUAGUUCACAGAGUGAAGACUUAUCUAGAUUACUGUGCAAGAAAAAUGAUGUGGUUGUCAAUGACAAUGGACAAAGUGUGAUAGCUUCAUAUAUUAAGAGAAAAGUAGUAAAUUCUUCAGUGGAAACUUUAAUCAUGAUCUAGCAAGGGUUGUCUGGAAAAGGAUUCCGGAAGACCACCAGUAUCCACAAGGAAAUCACCAGGAAAUCACUGCUUGGCUGUGUUCAAAAAAGCAAAAAGGCACACAGCGAGUCAAGCAUCCGCGUACACGACGCUUUAACUCGUUUUGGCCGGUGGGACAUCCUACUUUUUGACUAAAUUACACACCCAGCUAGCGUUUAACACAAGAUAGAGCUCUCAUCAAUAAUUGAUAGGAAAUUGGCUACUUUCUCAUCAAUAAUUGAUGAGAAAAUGAUUGCUAUUAUCUACACACAAAUAAUAAUUAGCACGCUGUUAAGCCAUAAACAUUCCUUCCUGGAAACCGACCUCAACUUUUCCUCACCGACAAAGUAAAGAAAAAGGAAAAGAAGAUUGAUGAAGAAUGGAGGUUGAACAUGUUUUUUUUUGUUGUUAAAAUUUAUAUAUUUUUUAAUAUUUUUUAAUUAUUUUUAUUUAUUUAUAUCAAAAAUAAAUUUUAAAAAAUAAAAAAUAUAUUAUUUUAAUAUAUUUUUAAAUAAACACUUUAAAAAUCAAGCUUUAAAUGAUUCCGUUGACUUAAUAAUUAAUGAUCGAGGCCCGGAUUCAAUAACUAUGAUAAUUAAACAUAUUUUCUCAUUUUUUGUUCUAAAUUUCUAUUAACAUUAUCAGGUGUUUAUGAUUUUAGACAAGGAAGUGAACUUAGCUCAACUAGAUGAAAUAGAUAGUGAAAUAGAGAGAUUAUUGUAGAGUUUAAUCUUACAACAAGGGACUUAUUAGUUAUUAUAAACAGUACAAUGUUAUGUCCAUGUAAAAAUUAUUUCUUCGUGUUAGGAAGAAAUAUUAGUCUAUGCUCAUAUGGACUUAUCUUCAAUGACAAGUAAAGGAAAAGAAAAAGAAGAUAUCUGACAACUGCUGUCCUCUUUUCCUUUCGGUUUUCUCGGGCCAGCCCUCUUCUCUUUUAUCCUUUCUUUUUCUUCCUCAACGUCUCUUCCAUGGCACAUUAAGGAAACAAGAGAAAGAAGACGAUAUAUCCUCGUUGAGGCACACAGAGGGUUAAAGAUCAACAAGCUGCCCUUGAUUAAUAACUGGUACAACUUUCUUCCUAUUCUUCCAUUAAUUUCUCUCUGUUUUGGGUUAGAUUCCACUUGUUUGGCCAUGGCCGUAGCAUCAUUCAUGUUGUUUAUAAAUGUUAGUGAGUUUUCCCUUUUAGCUCAAAAUGACUCUGUAAUUAAUUAAGAUCUCAGCUAGUUUCUCACUGGCUCCUCUCUUUAUAUCUUUCAUUGCUCUUCUUUGCUGGGCUCAUAUGUAAUGUUUGGCGCUUGCUCUGCACAAGUUCUAUUUUAAUUUCAUCCUUUAAUAUUGAAUUAAUUGAAGAUUAAAAUUUAUAAUUUAUUUUUAUUUAUUUUCCAGGCGGUUAUUUUGAUUUUAACUCAAGUAGGGUUUUUAAAUCUUUUUUAAUUGAUUUUUUUUUAAUUUACUACAACAUUUAGUAGUUUUACCAACAAAAUUUUUCUGUUAUUAGAGUAAAAUUACUACUAUAUCAGUGGAAAUUUUACCAACUAAUUCACCAAUGGAAUGCUUCUGUUGGUAUACCAUUAGUCGGUAAUUCCACUACUUGUCGCUAAUUUUAUCGAGAAAAAAAAAUUAAAAAACAAUGAUUUUACAAACAUUUAGGAUCUUUCAUUCAAGCAGAAAAAGAACACAAUUCUAUUUUGGAUUUAAUAAAAAAGGAAAAUUUAAUCUUAGUGAUCCAAUUAAAAUCCGUGACUCAAACCUUGAUUCAGUGGAAACCAUGUCGGUACUAAAAACUAUGCAUCAUAUGUGAGGAGAAAAGUAGUAAAUUCUUCAGUGGAAAAAGAUUCCGCAAGGCCACCACUAUCCUUCUACCUCGUUGCACCAUCAUCGAUAUCUUUUAGUUUUACAAUCGUGUGUGUGAAUUUUUCAAUGGGAUAAGAUGCUGUCGCUUAAAUAGGCCUCUUUUCUUUUCUUUUGUGUGUUGCGCGUCCCUUUUUUUGACGAUGGAGCUGAGCAGCACACGUGGUUCCUCUCUCUCUCUCUCUGCUAGAAAGCUUUGUGGGCUUUCUGGUCCAUUCAAAUAUAUAUGGGAAGCAAGGAACCUUCGUUCACUUCAAUGCGAAGCAAGAGCAAAAGGAGUUUCAUGAGAGGUUUUAUUUUUUCAUUUAAAAAGUAUUUUUAAAAAAUUUUAAAAUUAUUUUAUUAUUUUAUUAAUUUUAAAUUAAUAUAUUUUUAGUAUUUUUAAAUUAUUUUGAUAUACUAAUAUCAAAAAUAAUUUUAAAAAAAUAAAAUUAUUAAUAUUUAUUUUAACACAAAAAAUUAUUUAAAAAAUAACUAGAAUUACAUUGCGAAAUACUCUUUUCAUCUCAUGACACGCUUUUCUCUUAUCGCCACCAACCGGCCUGUAAUAUUCCAUAUACCCCCACUCGCCACUGGCUGCAGGCUCUCCUUUCUACAGCCCAUGAAGGCGGUGAAAAGGAAAAAAAAACAUCAAAUUACAACCUUUAAUUUUCGAAUUCUCGACAGAAUAUGACAUCGCCGCUUUUCCAACUACUUGUGCUUUGUCGAGUGGCACCGCCCCACUCUCACAAGUUCAGAAACAUGAUCAUAUUAAUAAUCUAUCUGCAAUAUAAACAAAAAUAAUGCUACAAUUUUAGAAUUUUGGAGUUGUUUCGUUAGUCAGAGAGGAAUAUAUAAUUUGGAUUUAUGAGUAUUUUUUUAAUUUAUUUUUAAAUGAAUUAAAAUUUUUUUAAUCAUGGUCUAACAAGGGUUGUCUGGAAAAAGAUUCCAGAAGACCACCAGUAUCCACAAGGAAAUCACUGCUUGGCUGUGUUCAAAAAAGCAAAAACAAUUACGGAAGACCAAGCAAAAAACUUGCUCCAGGUCGAAACCUAAGCCCGGACUAAAAACUAUGCGUCAUAUGUUAGGAGAAAAGUUGUAAAUUCUUCAGUGGAAACUUUAAUCAUGGUCUCACAAGGGUUGUCUGGAAAAAGAUUCCGGAAGACCACCACUAUCCACAAGAAAUCACUGCUUGGCUGUGUUCAAAAAUCAAAAGGGCACACAGAAAGUAAAGCAUCCGCGUACACGACGCUUUUAACUCCUUUUUGCCGAUGGGACAUCCUACUUUUUGACUAAUUUUAUACACCCAGCUAGCGUUUAACACAAGAUAGAGCUCUACAUCAAUAAUAUACCAUAAACAUUCCUUCCUGAAAACCUACCUCAACUUUUCCUCAUCGACUCAGAGCGUGUUUGUCAGCGUGGUAGCGGUUGCUUUUUAAAUAAUUUUUUAUGUUGAAAUACAUGCUAAUAAUAUUUUUUUCAUUUUUAAAAUCAGCACAUCAAAACGAUCCAAAAAGUACAAACUGAACUCAAUUUUAGUUAAAAAAAAAAUAAUUCAAAUUUGGACAAAACGCAGGUGCAAACGCAGCACCAAACACUGCUUAAGAAACCGUAUGGACAUUGUGUUUUCAAAAAUUUUAAUUUUUUUAAUUAAAAUUUAAUAUGGUUUAUAUGUUUUAAAUCGUUUUGAUGUGCUGAUGUCAAAAAUAAUUUUUUAAAAAUAAAAAUAAUCAUUAACAUAUAUUUCGGCACGAAAAGUUAUUUAAAAAACAAUCAUUAUCACACUGUAAAAGGAAAAGAUGUAGAUCAUUUUGAAUUGAGAUUGAAAUGAUUUCAGACUAUAAUUUAUUUGGCUUAAUCAUUAAUGAUCCAGGCCCGGAUUCAACAACUAUGAGGAUUCAAUAACUAUGACAAUUAAACAUAUUUUCUCACUUUUUUGUUCUAAAUUUCUAUUAACAUUAUCCAGUGUUUUUUAUUUUAGACAAGGAAGUGAACUUAGCUCAACUAGAUGAAAUAGAUAGUGAAAUAGAGAGAUUAUUGUAGAGUUUAAUGUUACAACAAGGGACUUAUUAGUUAUUAUAAACACUACAAUGUUAUGUCGAUGUAAAAAGUAUUUCUUCGUGUUAGGAAGAAAUAUUAGUCUAUGCUCAUAUGUACUUAUCUUCAAUGACAAGUAAAGGAAAAGAAAACGAAGAUAUCUGACCACUGCUAUCCUCUUUUCCUUUCGGUUUUCUCGGGCCAGCCCUCUUCUCUUUUAUCCUUUCUUUUUCUUCCUCAACGUCUCUUCCAUGGCACAUUAAGGAAACAAGAGAAAGAAGACGAUAUAUCCUCGUUGUGGCACACAGAGAGUUAAAGAUCAACAAGCUGCCCUUGAUUAAUAACUGGUACAACUUUCUUCCUAUUCGUCCAUUAAUUUCUCUCUGUUUUGGGUUAGAUUCCACUUGUUUGGCCAUUGAUGUAGCAUCAUUCAUGUUGUUUAUAAAUGUUAGUGAGUUUUCCCUUUUAGCUCAAAAUGACUCUGUAAUUAAUUAAGAUCUCAGCUAGUUUCUCACUGGCUCCUCUCUUUAUAACUUUCAUUGCUCUUCUUUGCUGGGCUCAUAUUUUUCUUCUUAAAUAUUCCUGCUCUGUUCUUUCUAUCUCAUUAUCUUCUGACAGUUAUUAUUCACUUCUAUCUCCUUCUUUCUGAUUUUCCACAUGUUUUGGGCUAGAACCUCUGAGCUAUAGACCACUAUUAUUGUCUGAUCAUUCUAAUACACUCUUGUUUGAUCAUAUACAGCCUUUAUUUAUGAGAUAUAAAAUAAUCUCCCAACUGUCCUCCAUCCGCUAGCUUCUCUCUUUAUUUACCAGGUGUAAGAUCUCAACUAGUCUUUGACUAAUAGUGAAUCUGAAAGAAUAAAAAUAUGGAUUGUCAAUCAAUUUUUGCCGUCUGCCUUCUGAUCUCACUUCUCUAUUUGAAUUUUCCAGUUGGUGUUAAAUAAUAUGGUUUUGGUUUUAACGAAUAUUCAUCGACAUGGCUCUUCCUAGUUAUAUUACUCAUCAUUAUAAUUAUAUCGUUUGUUUUCUUAUUGCUUGUUACAGGGAAUAAUUAUCACAAGUAGAGCUUACUUCUACACAUAUCAAGCAUAUACAAAUAUGGCUUCCUCUUCUUCUCCCACUACUCCAUAUUUGAAGCACGAAGUGUUCCUCAGUUUUAGAGGCACGGACACCCGCAAUAGUUUCACCAGUCAUAUUUAUGAUGCUUUGCAGCGAAACCAAAUUGAUGCUUACAUCGAUAAUAAACUUGAUGGAGGAGAAAAGAUCGAGCCUUCCCUCUUGGAAAGGAUUGAGGAGUCAUGUAUUUCGCUAGUCAUUUUCUCUGAAAAUUAUGCAGAUUCUACUUUCUGUUUGAGGGAACUCUCCAAGAUUCUUGAGUGCAGAGAGACCAAACAACAGAUGGUCUUACCAGUUUUUUACCGACUUGAUCCAAGCCAUGUUCAAAAUCUGACUGGGAGCUAUGGAGAUGCACUUUGCAAGCAUGAAAGAUAUUGCAGUUCUGAAGAAGUAGAGAGUUGGAGACGUGCUUUGAAAGAAAUAGCUAAUCUCAAGGGCUGGGAUUCAAACGUCAUUAAGUAAGUUAUUAAUUUAGUUGCAGCAUAUUAAACCCAACCUAUUUAAACAAUUUUGUUCGAGAAUAAAUGUUGUGUUUGAUGUUAUGAUAAAAUUUAUUAGGUUAUGACAGCAUGUCUUUGUUCUUAAUUUGUUUAUUAUGCACUGCAGGGAUGAGACCAAGCUAAUUCAUGAAAUCCUUACCGACAUUCAAAAGAAAUUGAACCAUGAGGUGUCACUCUCAUUCAUUGCAAAAGGCCUUUUUGGAAUGAAAUCACGGGUUGAAGACAUCGAAUCAUUACUAUCCUUUGGAUCAACCGGCGUGCUCAUCGUGGGAAUCUGGGGGAUGGGUGGUAUAGGUAAGUCCACAACGGCUGAAACUGUGUAUCUUCGAAACUGUAGUAAAUUUGAAGGCCAUUGCUGUUUCCGAGAUGUUAGGGAAGAAUCACGGAAGCAUGGAGUAGAUCAUGUAAGACAGGAAAUUCUUGGUGAAGUAUUAAAGAAGAAAGAUAUGACUAUACGCACAAAAGUGUUACCCCCGGCCAUUAAGCAAAUGCUUCAAAGAAAAAAAGUACUCAUAGUUCUUGAUGAUGUCAAUGAUCCACAAGAUUUAAAAUAUUUAGUAGGAGAGGAUGGUUUGUUUGGCCAAGGAAGUAGAAUCAUGGUGACAAGUAGAGAUAGGCAAGUGCUUAUAAAUGCAUGUGAUGAAGACAAAAUUUACGAGGUUAAAAUUUUAGAUAAAGACGAUGCUCUUCAACUCUUCAGCUUACAUGCUUUUAAACAAAAUAAUCCCAUAGAAGGAUAUAUUGGGCUAUCAAAAACUGUGGUAAGCUGUGUUAAGGGCAUUCCAUUAGUUCUCGAGGUUUUAGGUGGCAUUCUAUGCAAUAGAAGGAGUGUUGACUACUGGGAAAGUACGGUGGCACAGCUAAGAACAAAUGGUAGCGAGGACAUUAGGAAACAUUUGGAAUUGUGUUAUCAUGAAUUAAAUCAGAUAGAAAAGAAAAUAUUUCUUGAUAUAGCAUGUUUCUUUGGACGGUGCAAAAGGGAUCACCUCCAACAAACACUAGAUCUGAAAGAAAGAAGUGGGAUCGAUCGUCUCGCUGAUAUGUGUCUAAUAAAAAUUGUUCAAGACAAGAUCUGGAUGCAUGAUCUUUCUUCUUGCUCAAAACUAACAAGUCUACCGGACAACAUUGGCGAGUUGAGAUCUCUUGCAGAGCUUAAUCUUUCUUCUUGCUCAAAACUAGCAAGUCUACCGGACAGCAUUGGCGAGUUGAGAUCUCUUGCAGAGCUUAAUCUUUCUUCUUGCUCAAAACUAGCAAGUCUACCGGACAGCAUUGGCGAGUUGAGAUCUCUUGCAGAGCUUAAUCUUUCUUCUUGCUCAAAACUAGCAAGUCUACCGGACAACAUUGGCGAGUUGAGAUCUCUUACUAUUCUUAAUCUUUAUUCUUGCUCAAAACUAGCAAGUCUACCGGAAAGCAUUGGCGAGUUGAGAUCUCUUACUAUGCUUGAUCUUUGUGGUUGCUAUGGACUAACAAGUCUACCGGACAACAUUGGCGCGUUGAAAUCUCUUCAUCGGCUUAAUCUUGAUGGUUGCUCGGGACUAGUAAGUCUACCAAACAGCAUUGGCGGGUUGAAAUCUCUCAAAUCGCUUUUAUCAAGACUAACAAGUCUACCAGACAGCAUUGACAACUUGAAAUCUCUCAAAUUGCUUAAUCUUAAUGGUCGCUCAAGACUAGCAAGUCUACCAGAUAGCAUUGGUGAGUUGAAAUCUCUCAAAUCUCUUUGGUUUAGAGGUUUCUCAAGACUAGCAAAUCUACCGGACAACAUUGGCGCGUUGAAAUAUCUUGAAGACCUUGAUCUUGAAGAUUGCUCAGGACUAGCAAGUCUACCAGACAACAUUGGCGCAUUGAAAUCCCUUAAAAAACUUUAUCUUAGUGGUUGCUCAAGACUAGCAAGUCUACCAGACAGCAUUGGCGCGUUGCAAUCUCUCGAAUAUCUUAAUCUUAGAGGUUGCUCAAGACUAGAAAGUCUACCAGACAGCAUUGGCGCGUUGCAAUCUCUCAAAUCUCUUCAUCUUAAAGGUUGCUCAGGACUAGUAAGUCUACCAGACAUUAUUGGCGCGUUGCAAUCUCUCAAAAACCUUAAUCUUAGCGAUUGCUCAGGACUAGUAAGUCUACCGGAUAGCAUUGGCGCGUUGAAAUCUCUUGAAUACCUUAAUCUUUUAGAUUGCCCAGGAGUAGCAAGUCUACUGGACAUCAUUGGCCCGUUGAAAUCUCUUGAAUACCUUUGUCUUUAUGGUUGCCCAGGAGUAGCAAGUAUACUGGACAACAUUGUUGCAUUGAAAUCUUUAAACGCACUUUAUCUUAGUGGUAUCUCAAAACUAGAAAGUCUACCGGACAGUAUUGGCGCGUUGAAAUCUCUUGUAUUACUUGGUCUUCAUGGUUGCUCAGGACUAGCAAGUCUACCGGACAGUAUUGGCGCAUUGAAAUCUCUUAAGUUCCUUAAUCUUUCUGGUUGCUCGGGACUAAAAAGUCUACCGGACAACAUUGUUGAGUUGAAACAUCUUACUAUGCUCAUUCUCAGUGGUUGCUCGGGACUAAAAAGUCUACCGGACAGCAUUGUUGAGUUGAAACAUCUUUUUAUGCUCGUUCUCAGUGGUUGCUCGGGACUAAAAAGUCUACCCGACGGUAUUGGCGAGUUGAAACAUCUUACUAUACUCAAUCUCAGUGGUUGCUUAAAACUAGCGAGCCUUCGAGAUAACUUUAUUGAUCUUGAAUUUGGAGGACUUGACAAACAACCUUGUUAUACGCUGAGAGGAUUCCAGAAAGGAGAAGAAAUUGCAUCAUCCACCAAUAAAUUAGGUUGCCAUGAAUUUUUAAAUUUGGGAAAUUCUCGUUUGUUGAAAACUCCAGAGAGCUUAGGCUCUUUUGUGUCACUAACAAAGUUGAGAUUAUCUGAGAUUGAUUUUGAGAGGAUACCUGCAAGCAUCAAGCACCUUACUGAGCUACGUGAACUCUUUUUAGAUGAGUGCAAGCGCCUUCAAUGUUUACCAGAGCUUCCAUCAACUCUACAAGUUUUAAUCGCAUCAGGCUGCAUCUCUCUAAAAUCUGUAGCAAGUAUAUUCAUGCAAGGUGAUAGAGAAUAUGAAGUUGCUUCUCAGGAAUUCAAUUUCUCUAAUUGCCUCCAACUGGAUCCGAAUUCACGCACUAAAAUUAUGGGUGAUGCCCGUUUACGAAUUCAACGCACGACAACAUCGUUGUUUUAUCAGGUGAAUUCUUCCUCCCUCGAUCUUGAUUUAUUUAAAGAAAAAAAUCACGAUAAUUUUUUAUAUGUAGCUCACAUCAUCACUCUCUUCGGUGCACGCAGAUCGUUAUAUACCCAUUAGAGUUCGGUUGUGUAUUCCUGGUUCGGAAGUCCCGGAGUGUUUCAGCUAUAAAAAUAGAGAAGGAUCUUCAGUAAAAAUCCGGCAACUAGCUCAUUGGCAUCGUGGUUUCACUUUAUGCAGUGUUGUUUCAUUUGGCCAAAGCGAGGAAAGGCAUCCGGUUAAUAUUGAAUGUGAAUGCCAUUUGAUAAUCAAAGAUGGAACCCAGAUUGAUCUCAGUUCCUACUACUACGACAAAUAUGAAGCAAAGGUGAGGAGUCCAACUAUAUGGAAAAGGGAGCAUGUGUUCAUUUGGAGUGUCCACUGUAAGUGUUUUUUCAAGGAGGCCUCGUUCCAUUUCAAACCACUGUGCGAAGCUACUGAUGUGGUGGUUCAGUGUGGAGUCCAUCCAUUGUUAAAGUAGGAGCAACCAUACGCUAAAAUGGACAAACUUAUGACAUUGGUAACUCGUCUUCUCCUAUUCUUUUUCUAUACAAAUACUUACGAAACAACUCAAUUGAAAUGAAACCAGAUAGUCUUAUGUAUUAGAGAUGAAAAUGAUAUAUUUGUCCUCCUACAAAACAAAAUAAUAAUUAUCAAUUGGAUCCCAUCUAUCACAUCUUACCAAUUAACCCCACCAUUAAAAUUUAUGGUAUAAAUGACAUCAUUUUAAUGGGUGCAUGGUUCUAAGGUCUUGAUAAAAAAAACAAUUGGUUCAGUAGGUUAACUCGGGUUAUUUUUUGUUUUUUAAUAGUUUUUUUUUCAAUUUCAUCCUUCAACAUUAAGUUAAUUGAGAAUUUAGUUUCAUAUUUUUGUUUUGUUUUCUAUGAGUUUAUCGUGAUCCCAAGAUCCAGGCUACAAGUUUUAUGAGUUAGCAAGGUUGACUCAAUUUUAUUUUUUAUUUUAUUUUUUUUUCAUCUCUCAACAUUGGAUUGAUUGAGAAUUUAACUUCAUAUUUUAAUUUUAUUUUAAUCUAUAGAUUUAUCCUGGUCUUAUGAUCCAAGUUUAUUAUAUUAACCCGGGUUGACUCAAUAUAUUUUUUUAAUUGAUUUUUUUUUAAAUUGAAUCCUUUAACAUUGGGUUGAUUGAAAAUUGUGCUUUGUAAUUUUUUUUACCAUAAUCUCAUGACCCGGGUCGAUUGUUAGCUCGGUUGCCUCGAGUUUUUUUGUGUUCUUUUUAAAUGCAUUUGUUUUUCAAUUUCUUCUAUUAAUAUUGGGUUAAUUGGGAAUUAAGCUUCAUAAUUUAUUUUGGUUUUUUUUCUAUGAAGAUAUCUUGACCUCAUAACUCGAGUCGCGGGUUUAAUUUGUGAACUUGGGUUGAAUCGAGUGGUUUUUUCAUGUUUUUUCAUUAAUUUUUUUUAACAAUUUUAUUUUACAAUAUUGGGUUGAUUGAGAAUUGAGUUUUUAAAUUUUAAUUUGACUGGCAGUGUAGCGUGGACAAUUAUCUAGCGUGGACAAUUACUGUACCCCUUGUCACAAAAGCACUAUUCAUUGGAAUUAUGAUUUUUUUUAUGCUUUUUUUUCAAUCAAUUUUUUUUUAAUUUCAUCUUUUAAUAUUAUAUUUGUUUUUAUUAAGUUAUUUCACUCUCAUGACAUGGAUUGCUGGCUUGACGAGUUAACCUGGUUUACUUAAAUUUUUCUUCAAUUUCAUCUUUUAAUAUUGAUUUGAUAGGAAUUUAGGCUUCAUGAUCUGUUUUGUUUACUUUCUAUUGUGUUAUUCUUGCAUGCCUUAUGAUCGAAGAAUCGUGUUUAACAAGUUAACCCAAGUUCACUAAUAGUUUUUUGUGUCUUCUUUUAUUUUAUUUUUUAAUUUUAUCAUUCAACAUUGAGUCAGUUGGAAAUUGAGUUUCAUACUCUAUUUUGAUUUGCUUUCUAUGAGGAUAUUUUGCUAUCACAAUCAAGGUCACAAGUUUUUUAUAAUGUUAUCUCAAUUUGAUGGCGCAAGUCAUGGGUGUGGCUGAUUGACUCAUGUCGGUUUUUUUAUUUAUUAAUUUUUAAUUGUUUUUUUUAAUCUUAUCCUUCAACAUUAGGUUGAUUGGUGAUUGUAAUUUGUAAUUUUAUUUAUUUAUUUUUUAUGGGAUUAUCUUGAUUUUAUCCUUCAACAUUAGGUUGAUUGGUGAUUGUAAUUUGUAAUUUUAUUUAUUUAUUUUUUAUAGGAUUAUCUUGAUCUUCUAACCCCGAUCGCGAGUUUGACAAGUUAACUCGGGAGGUGUAAACUUAACUGGAUUUUUCAUUCACCAUGCAGUGCAUUAAGAUCAUUUGACCAAAAUGAUUAUUUUCUUUUUUCAUUUUGCUAAUAGUUCUUUGUCGCUUGUAAACAGAAUACGGACAGAGUAAUAAAGUAUUAGUUAGAGGAGACAUACAUGGCUUCGGUAUCAUGCAGCUGGGAUUGAUAACAAGGCAAAGACCAAUAGGAGAAACGCUCGCCGACGGGCUUGAUAUAAGGAAGGAGCCAUAUUAAAAGGUUUUUUUUUAAUUAAUUUCAUUUUCAGAUUUUUUUACCGAACACUAAGUUGCUUUUAAAUUGACGGAAAACAAAGCUAAAUAAGUAGUUAGGUUAAAAGAUUAUUUUUUUAGCAAUUUCAUUUUUUUCUUUUAAUUUUUCUCUUGGAUUUUUUGUACAAAAUAGUGGGGAUGCCUUUGAAUUCUAAUUUUAAACCUAAGAUAGGUAAGGAGUCGGAUUAAUAAAAUUUAAAUUUGACACAAUAGACCGAGUUUAAUAAAAUAUCAAAUAAUUUUUUAUAAUUUAAAUAUUUUUUAUUAUGUUAAAAAAAAUUAAUUCAACCUACAUGGUAAUAUAAAAUUAUAGAAGACUUGGGAGUAAUUUAUAAUUAAUUAAAGUACUACUAAAAAACAAAUCAAAACAAAAAAAAAAAUUCUAAAUGGGCUCGAUUAACUACCAAUCAGACCACAGCAGUACAUAGCCCAAAACCAAAGGCCCAAUUCAUUCCGUCUCUUUUUCUGUAUCAAUCGAUACGCAUAAAUUCUUGAAUUAUUUUAUUUUAUUUUUAUGGUUCUUGUUUUAUAGAUCGAAAUUGUUUGAUUUCUCUCAGAUCUGACGUUCCAAAUGAUUGAAGAGAUCUGCGAUCGUAUCAAGAUUGUUCAAAUUUCCGAUUCCAGCCCUUCUCUCUCUUCGACCACAGGUUAGAAGAAGUAGCUUCACUUUGUUUAAUUAAUAUUUCUCUGAAAUUGAUUUUUUUAAAAAAAUUUCAGUUGAAUCCGUAGAAGAUACGAAAUUCGAUACAGGUUCGUGUUUUUAUUAAAAAAAAUGUAUUAGAAAUUAUUUGUUGAAGUACUGAUUAUCAGUGUUUUUUUUUUUUUGCUUCUGCUUAGGCUUAGAAAUUGUAAUUGUGAAUUAUUUGAUUUUAUUUGUUAUUGAAUUUAAUUUUUUAUUUAUCUUUUUAAUUCUAGGGUUUCUAAAUUUUUAAAGUCGUUUUUAAUUAAGAGAAAAAAAAAGAGUUAAAUUGAGUCAAAUUCGGUGCUGUAGAACUGUAGACAUUUGUAUUUUAUAUUGAAAUUGUUUUGACUCGAAAAGGUUAUUUUGAUUUUAAUGAAUUUUCAGGAGAAACUAUUAAUUCGGAGGAGGAGAGCGUAUCUAAUAGAAUUCGACAAGUUUCCCCAUCUCAGGGGCCAACACUGCCCAUUUUGCAGAAAAUUAUCAAUUUAAGUGAUAAAAUUCAGGUACUUAUUUUGAACUUUGGUGGUGUUGGGUAUCGUAUAGAUGACUUGAAAAGACUUGGUUUUAGUUGUAGAAUUCAGGCAAUUUUAAAUUUCAUUGUUUUAGCUAGUAAAUUAGGAUUUUGCAUUAUUAUGUUGAUGGGGGUAUUGAUUUGUUAUCUUUCUUUGAAUUUAAUUGUUGUUGUUUUAGAAUUUGAAGAAAGAACACUCAAAUCUCUCUAAUCAAGUAAAGACUGCCAAGGAUUCCUUUCUUGGCCCCAAUAUUUUAGACACCCUUCAAAAACUCGGUGAGUAUCCAAUAGUGAAACUAAUUUAUUUCUUCUUUUCAUUUUUUAUUUUUUUAGAGGGGUUUGGUUUUGAUAGUUUACUCGUUGAAAUAUUGGUCAGGUAAUGAAUAUGAACUUCUUAAAAAGAGGUAUCUACAAGAGUUGUCUGAGAGAAAGAGGCUUUACAAUGAGGUGAUCGAGCUUAAAGGGAAUAUUAGGGUCUUCUGUAGAUGCAGACCACUAAAUCAAGUUGAAAUAACACAUGGUUUGAGCUAUGUAGUUGAUAGUUUACUUGUUGAAAUAUUGGUCAUGUAAUGAAUAUGAACUUCUUAAAAAGAAGUAUCUACAAGAGUUGUCUGAGAGGAAGAGGCUUUACAAUGAGGUGAUCGAGCUUAAAAGGAAUAUUAGGGUCUUCUGUAGAUGCAGACCACUAAAUCAAGUCGAAAUAACAAAUGGUCUGAGCUAUGUAGUUGAAUUUGACUCUUCCCAAGAUAAUGAGUUGCAGAUCAUUUCCUCUGAUUCUUCCAAAAAGCAAUUUAAGUGGACCAUGUUUUUGGACCUGAGGAUAAUCAAGGUGAUCUGAUGUUUUAUUUUAUGUAUUGCUACUGCAGACAUCCUGUUAAAGAUUAUGUGUGCAAUUGAAGCUUUUAAUCCUUUGUCUUUGUGAUAUGCAGAGGCUGUUUUUGUACAAACUAAACCAAUAGUUGCUUCAGUUUCGGAUGGCUACAAUGUCUGCAUAUUCGCCUAUGGACAAACUGGAACUGGAAAGACAUUUACUGUGGAGGGCAGCCCAGAAAAUAGGGGAGUGAACUACAGAACAUUGGAUGAGUUGUUCGGAGUUUCUCAAGAAUAUUAUGGUUGUCUUUUUGUUAGUAUGAUGGAGGUUUACAAUGAGAAGAUAGGGACCUCUUGAUUGAUAGUUCCAACCAACCGCCUAAAAAGUUAGUUUCCUCUUUUAUUGCUACUGUAUUGAUCUUAUAAUCAAAUAUAGUCAUUUAUAUCAAAUUUUUUGAUAGUUUGUUGCGAGUAACAGUGAAAGGAGAGAAUUUAAUAGAUGGACAAAAGACAAGAAGUCACCUAUGGAUGGUCGAUUUGGCUGGUAGUGAACGUGUGGGAAAGAUUGAUGUUGAAGGUAAAAGAUUGAAGGAAUCGCAAUUCAUUAAUAAAUCUCUUUCAGCACUUGGUGAUGUUUAUAUCUGCCCUCGCAUCUAAAACUGGCCACAUUCCUUACAGGUCUUUCUCUCACACAGUCACUCUUGUAACAUGCUAUCCAAUUACCAUAUUAAUGAAGAUAUUUGUUUUCUUCCGAUCAGGAACUCAAAGCUAACCCAUAUGCUACAGAGCUCUCUCGGUGAGUAUUAAGUUUACUAUUUUUUAUGGUUACCAGACAUUCUUAUUGUCUUGUUUGUCAGUAAAAGGUGAUAAGUGAAACAUGAAUGCAGGAGGAGAUUGUAAGACCUUGAUGUUUGUCCAAAUAAGUCCAAGCGCUACUGACCUUGGAGAGACGCUUUGUUCACUAAAUUUUGCGAGUCGAGUGCGAGGAAUUGAAAGUGGUCCUGCCCGCAAACAGGCUGAUCUCUCUGAACUUUUCAAAUACAAGCAAAUGGUAUAUAUAUACUGCUCGUAUUUGAUGAAAUUUCUUUUGUCUCAGUUUCUUUUAUCUUGAUUCUUAUUUUCUUUCCCGUUUCAAUUACAAAUAAUCAGGUAGAAAAGUUAAAGCAUGAUGAGAAGGAAACAAAGAAGUUACAGGAUAGCUUGCAAUCAUUGCAGUUGAGGCUUGCUGCUAGAGAACGUAUGUGCAGAACUCUCCAAGAAAAGGUAAUUCUGAUGGCUUGAGCUCCAUUUAAUGCUUUUUUUUAUUUAUUAUUACUAUGAAACAUGUGGAAAAUAUAUUGGAGAUGUUUUUUCGUUUUUCUUUUGCUUUUAUUGUCCCUUAAAUGGCAUUUUAAGUCAUUUUGUAGACUAACAAAUAACUUUUCUUACAAUAGGUUCGAGAGCUUGAGAAUCAAUUAGCGGAGGAAAGAAAAACCAGACUAAAGCAGGAAACACGAGCUUUUGCAUCAGAAGCCAUCUCUGUGUCCUUCAAAGUUAAGGUUGCUGUUGCGAAAAAUCACCAAUCUCAUGCCUCCACCAUGUCCUCUACAAAAAUAGAACCGGUUCUGUUUUAUCUUCAAAGCAUGACAAAGAAAACAAUCCAAGAACCACAGCUGCAGGAACAAAUACAAAAAGCCUUAUGAAACCCAGACGUAUGUCUGUUGCAGUCAGACCUCCUCCUCCAAUUUCAGCACAGGUUUUUCAGCCUAAGAGACGGGUGUCCAUUGCUAGCUAUCGUUUAGAGCCAACCUCAAACAUGACACCUCUUCAUGGGGAGUCAUUUGUCAUGGGGAGUCCUCCGCCACAAGCAGGUUCUUGGAAGCCAAAGCACCCAACAGUUGUUGCACUGCAACGAAAAUCUCUGGUGUGGAGCCCGCUAAAGUUAAGGAGCUUUCAAAACAGGAGACCAUCUUUGGUGCCCUAUCGAUCAUCAUCAACUAAUGAGGUGCAAUAAAACUUAGUCUUCAUUUUCAUGAUAAAUAGUAGGAGUAUACUUUUUUUUUCUUGAUUCCCCUCUUCCCAUUUUUCUUACAUGAAUUUUAUCAUUUCUCCUCUGGAUAUUAAUCGCAAUUGUAUGCUACUUGCCUACUCAUUCGCGGUUGUAUGUUAUUUGCUUUCCUACAUGAGUCAACAACUCCAUUCAACAGUGAGAAACACAGAAAAAAAAACACAGGAGUUUUUCGAUGCUUUAACUCAUCUUGGCCAGUGGGACAUCCUGCUUUUUGACUAAUUUAUACAAGAUAGAGCUCUACAUCAACAAUUCAUAAGAAAUUGGCAUGCCACUCUCUCAUCAAUUAUUUAAGAUAUGAUAGAGGAGAUAAGAAAAUGAUUGCUAUUAUCGACCAUCUUCCUCUCCAGUCUCUGUCUCAACUAAAAAUAGUUUAAGCAAAAGUCAUGUUAAUUCCCAGUAAUCCAAUCAACUGCUUUCGAGUUCUCCUAAUUAUUUAAGACACUUUAAAUUUAAUUAAUUUUAUUGUUUUAAGUAUCAACAAUUAUUGUUUUUUAUCUGUUCGUAAACAAUAAUAUAACAAAGGCUAGAGUGUGAGUGGAUGAAUCGCAACCUUUCAAUAACUUCAAGCCACAAAAUCUUAAUCUAAACCAAAACGCAACAUCUUAUAUGAUUUAAGAAUCAAUCGUAAAAGGACAUGUUAGUAACGAGUUUAAGGGCAUGUUUAUUUCUACAUUUCAAAAGUGUUUUCGAAAAAGAAUUGAAUUUUUUUAAUUUUUUAUUAACUUUAAAUUAAUAUGUUUUUAGUGUUUUUAAAUUAUUUUGAUGUGCUAAUGUUAAAAAUAAUUUUUUAAAAAUAAAAAAACAUUAUUAACAUGUAUUUUUACAUGAAAAAUUAUUUGAAAAGCAAUCGCAACCUGUUAAACAUACUUAAUGUUAUUAAAGGACAUGUACAAUUAAAGCUCUUUGACGUGAUUAGCCUAAUCAGUCAUUUUAAAUAUGUGAUCAAUUCAUAAUAAUAAAAAAUGGUAUAAAACAAUGUUGAUGUAAACUUUGAUUAAAAAUCAAUAACGUUAACGUGAAACAACAAUAAGUCUUUAUAUAAACUAAAUAAUAAAGAAGUAAAGUAGAUAUAUUUCAGAAUAAAAAAAUGAUUCUAAAAAUUUAAUAGAAUAAUAUGAUCUAUGCAAGGAUGACACAAGAAAAACUAGGAUUUUAAUGUAAAAUCAUUUAUAAAUUAGUUUUGUUUUAUUGAACAUAACUCUCAAUCUAAUUAUUAAAUAAAGAUAAAAUUUUAUGAGAAAUCUUCUAACCUAUUACUUUAUUAUAAGUUAAAAUUUUAGAUCAAGUUCAGAAAAAUUGUACAAGAAUGGACAAAAAAAUAACAUGUAAACUUAUUAAUGGUAUUUUUGUAAAUAAACUAGAUGAGCUGGAAAUUUCAAUUUCUUCUUCUCCUGGGCAAUCCCUACAGAAGAAAUUGUCCUUUUUUAUAUUGUGCUUCUCACAUGUCUUGAGAAAUGGGUUAUUCUCCAUCAUUAAUUACUACUAUCUCUUAUAUCAAACACUUUUUCAUGAUCCCCCCCUCAAAGAAGUAGCUCCUCCUUGCUAGAAAAUUAAUUGUGAAUUUUGAACAUUAUCGGCUAUGUAUGGAUGCAUAUAGUGAGUUUUUUUUUUAUUUAUUCUUUUUAAAUGCAUUUGUUUUUCAUUUACAUCCAUUAAAAUUGGGUUAAUUAAAUAUUAGACUUUAUAAUUCAUUUUGGUUUGUUUUCUAUGAAGAUAUCCCGACUUCAUGACUUGAGUCACUGGUUUGGUUGGUUAACUCAGGUUGACUCGAGUGGUUUUUCAUGUUUUUUGUUAAUUAUUUUUUUUUAUAAUUUUUUUUAAUAUUAGAUUGAUUAGGAAUUGAGUUUUCAAUAUUAGAUAAUUAUCUACUAUUAACUUUAAAUUAAAAUAGGAGAGGUUUUAACUGUACCCUUCGUCACUAAGCACUAUUCAUUGAAAUAAUGAUUUGCUUCUUUUUUUCUAUGCUUUUUUUUUUCAAUCAAUGUUUUUUUUUAAUUUUAUCAUUUAAUAUUAAAUUAUUUUUUUAUUGAAUUAUUUCACUUUCAUGAUACAAAUUGCCAGUCUAACGGUUGACCGGGUUGACUCAAUUUUUUUCUUCAAUUUCAUCACUUAAUAUUGGGUUGAUCUGAAAUAUGAUUUGUUUUGUUAACUUUCUAUCGUGUUAUUUUAGCCUCAUGGCCGGAGAAUCGUGCUUAACAAGUUAACCCAAGUUGACUCAAAUAGUUUUUUAUGUUUUUUUAAUUAUUAUUUUUUUAAUUUUAUCUUUCAACACUAAGUCAAUUGGAAAUUGAUUUUUAUAUAUAAAAAAAAUAUUUGCUUUCUAUAGAGAUAUCAAGGUUGCAAGUUUUGGUAUUUUAACACUAUUCUGUCAAUGGAAAUUUUACUAACUAAUUCACCGAUGGAAUGUUUUUGUUGGUAUACCAUUCGUCGGUAAUUCCACUAUUUGUCGCUAAUUCUAUCAGAAUUUUUUUAAAAAAAACAAUGGUUUUACAAACAUUUAUGAUCUUUCAUUCAAGUAGAAAAAGAACACACUUCUAUUUUAAAAGAUUCCGGAAGACCACCAGUAUCCAUAAGGAAAUCACCAGGAAAUGACUGCUUGGCUGUGUUCAAAAAUCAAAAGGGCACACAGCAAGUCAAGCGUACGCGUACACGACGCUUUAAAGUCAAGCUAGCGUUAAACACAAUAAUGAUUGAUAUUUUAAAACCAUAAACAUUCCUUCCUGGAAACCGACCUCAACUUUUCCUCACCGACAAAAGUAAAGAAAAGGAAAGGAAGAUUGAUGACUAAUUCCGUUUUGAAUUGAGGUUGAAAUUUCUUUUUUCGUUAAAAUUUAAUUUUUUUUAGUAUUUUUAUUUAUGGAUAUUAAAAAUAAUUUUUAAUAUAUUUUCAAAUAAAAAAAACAUUUUAUAACACUAUAACAUUAAUAAACCGGCUGCCGGCUGUAAGCGCUUCAAUGUUUUAUACAAUUUGUGGGGUUUGGUUGGAGAUAAUAAUUACCGCGUAUUCCUCCAUUAAUUCAACUUUUUAAAAUAAUUAAUUACAAAAAAAUGUUGAGUCUUUGUCUGGUGAGUACUCUAUUAAAUUAUUAAUUUUCAUUCCCAACUUAUAAUUGGUUAAUUAGAUAAUCUCCAUUUGCUCAGCGUAUGUAGUAAACAAUAUAUAGUAGUUUGAUGUUAUACACAUUCCUUCCAGGAAACUGACCUCAACGUCUCUUCCAUGGCACAUUAAGGCACACAGAGGGUUAAAGAUCAACAAGCUGCCCUUGAUUAAUAACUGGUACAACUUUCUUCCUAUUCGUCCAUUAAUUUCUCUCUGUUUUGGGUUAGAUUCCACUUGUUCGGCCAUUGCUGUAGCAUCAUUCAUGCUGUUUAUAUAUGUUAUUGAGUUUUCCCUUUUAGCUCAAAAUGACUCUGUAAUUAAUUAAGAUCUCAGCUAAUUUCCCACUGGCUCCUCUCUUUAUAACUUUCAUUGCUCUUCUGUUUGAGGGAACUCUCCAAGAUUCUUGAGUGCAUGGAGACCAAACAACAGAUGGUCUUACCAGUAUUUUACCGACUUGAUCCAAGCCAUGUUCAAAAUCUGACUGGGAGCUAUGGAGAUGCACUUUGCAAGCAUGAAAGAGAUUGCAGUUCUGAAGAAGUAGAGAGUUGGAGACGUGCUUUGAAAGAAAUAGCUAAUCUCAAGGGCUGGGAUUCAAACGUCAUUAAGUAAGUUAUUAAUUUAGUUACAGCAUAUUAAACCCCAACUUAUUUAAACCAUUUUGUUCGAGAAUCAAUAUUGUGUUUGAUGUUAUGAUAAAAUUUCUUAGGUCUUAGCCUUUGUUCUUUAUUUAUUAUGCACUGCAGGGAUGAGACCAAGCUAAUUCAGGAAAUCGUUUCCGACAUUCAAAAGAAAUUGAACCAUGAGCUGUCCCUCUCAUUUGAUUCAAAACGCCUUGUUGGAAUGGCAUCACGCGUUGAAGACAUCGAAUCAUUACUAUCCUUGGGAUCAACCGGUGUGCUCAUCGUGGGAACUGGGGGAUGGGUGGUAUAGGUAAGUCAACAACGGCUGAAGUUGUGUAUCAUCGAAACUGUAGUAAAUUUGAAGGCCAUUGCUUUUUCCAAAAUGUUAGGGAAGAAAAUUCUUGGUGAAGUAUUAGAGAAGAAAGAUAUGACUAUACGCACAAAAGUGCUACCCCCGGCCAUUAAGCGAAUGCUUCAAAGAAAAAAAGUCCUCAUAGUUCUUGAUGAUGUCAAUGAACCACAAGAUUUAAAAUAUUUAGUAGGAGAGGAUGGUUUGUUUGGCCAAGGAAGUAGAAUCAUGGUGACAAGUAGAGAUAGGCAAGUGCUUUUAAAUGCAUGUGAUGAAGACAAAAUUUACGAGGUUAAAAUUUUAGAUGAAGACGAUGCACUUCGACUCUUCAGCUUACAUGCUUUUAAACAAGAUCGAUCGUCCCAUAGAAGGAUAUACAAUGAAAGGAGUGUUGAAUACUGGGAAAGUAAGGUGGCACAGCUACGAACAAAUGGUAGCGAGGACAUUAAGAAACAUUUGGAAAUGUGUUAUCAUGAAUUAAAUCAGACAGAAAAAAAAAUAUUUCUUGAUAUAGCAUGUUUCUAUGGACAUUAAGAAACAUUUGAAGGGAUGUAUAAUUUAAGAUUGCUCAAAAUCUACUACCCAUCUUUCUUAGAGAAUCCCUCGAAGGAGCAAAUUAUGAAUGGAAAGAGGGUCGGAAUCCACCUUCCACGAGGGCUUCACUUUCUUUCAAGUGAGCUAAGGUUUCUUUACUGGUAUAAUUACCCUUUGAAAUCCUUGCCAUCAAAUUUUUUUCCCUGAGAAACCUUUUCAACUUGAAAUGCCUUGUAGCCAGCUUGAACAACUUUGGAAUGAAGGCAAGGUAAAUAUGCUUUAUCACCCUUCUUUUUCAAAUAUAGGACAAUUUUGAAAUUAUUGUAACAUUUAUCUUUUCUUACAUUAAUUUUUUUUUAUUUACAACCACUAGAGCUUCCCAGAUUCGAGAGUUUCUGUACUUUUCCAUCAUCAAUUGGGUGCCUCUCUCAACUUGUUAGAUUAAACUUAUCUUCAUGUGAAAGUCUUGCUAGUCUGCCAGACAAUAUUGGCGAGUUGAGAUCUCUCAAAUCGCUUAAUUUUAAUAGUCAUUCAGGAUUAGCAAGUCUACCAGACAACACUGACGCAAUGAAAUCCCUUAAAAAACUUGAUCUUAGUGGUUGCUCAGGACUAAAAAGUCUACCAGAUAACAUUGACACAUUGAAAUCCCUUAAAAUACUUGAUUUUAAUAGUUGUUCAGGACUAGCAAAUCUACCAGACAACAUUGGCAUGUUGAAAUCUCUUAAAAACCUUGAUCUUAGAGGUUGCUCAAGGCUAGCAAGUCUCUAAAUUCUUUGGCAUGAAAGAUCGCAUGUUUCAUUCACCUUGACCAAAAUGAUUUGUUCUUUUUUCAUUUUGCUAACAGUGCUUUGUUGCUUGUAAACAGAAUAUGGACAGAGUAAUGAAGUAUCAGUUAGAGGAGACGUAUACAGCUUCGGUAUCAUGCUGCUGAUACUCAGAUAAUCAGAUAAAUGUUGAAUGAGUUUGGUGAGAUGUUAUCAGAUAAUCAGCCUGCACUUGCACAUAUAAGAUGUUUGAGGCAUAGCUAUCAAGGUUUACAUCGUUUAUUCCUCUUCCUUGCUUGCUUUAACAAAAAUAAUAUUUAUGUUAUGCGUUGAGGAAUUUAGAGCUCCACCUGGAAACAUUUAUGGGGUUAAAAAAAAUUGAUAUUUCUCUAUAAUCAGCACAAGGCGAGUUGAGAAGUAAAUUGAUUAACACAAUUAACCGAAUUGACUCUCAAACUUUUAUUUUACUCUAAUUAAGUCCCUCGUUGUAUUAAUUAAACUAAUCCAAUGUUCAAACAAGUCCCUAAAACUUAUUAAUUCUUCCACUUUUAGCCAAAUUAACUUCCAACCUUAUUACUCUUUCAUUUUAGCACCUGAUUAAGCCCAUCCAAAGUACAAUUAGGUCCUUGGAUUCUUUGAUUUUUGCCAUUUAGCCCCCAUCUUCAGCUUUCUUCUUAAUGAAGCAUCUAUCAAAAUUGGACCGCUAAACUUUACAACCUUGUCCAUGUUGGUCCUCAAAUCUUUAAUUUAUUCAGCCUUAAUCACAUUUUCAAUCUGCUUUCUAAAUUUCUUCAACAAGACCUCAAAUUAUCCAUCUACCUAUCAACUAUAAAUUAAAUAUUUGUCCAAUCAUGAUUCAAUGCUUUAUUUUUUAUUACUGUUACUUUUUUUAAUUCAGAAUUGGGUGAAGACACAGAUAGUUGCAUGCAAACUGAAAUCUUGCCGUCCUCUAUGGAAUGUGAUCUAGCAAUAGUAUGAUCAAAACUUUUAGUAGUUAUUGCAAGUUUUCCUAAAAAAAUGUUCGAUGGUUUUGUUUUUAUAAUGUGUUCUUCUCCCUCUCUCUCCCUCUAAACAGUUAGGUGGCAGCAUUAAAUCUAUUUUAACUUGGAAUUGGUCUCUUUCUUGCUGCUUAAGAAAAAUGCAAAAGGUGAAAGAAAAGAAAUAAAAACUGAUUUUGAGUGAUCAAGUUCUCGAUGGGAUCAUUGUUCCACAAGAUCAAUGCCAUUGUUCCACAAGAUCAAUGCUCUCUCUGCCACCUACAAAGCAUCAGUUCCAUAAACUGUUUUUAACAAAGGAAAGAGCAAAGAAUAUAAGCUAUCAUCUCAACAAGUUUUUCAGUGAAAAACUAAGCCUUGGUGGCACACAGGCCUUGCUCCAGAUUGAACACCAAGUCUGGAUUAAAAACUCUGAAUCAUAUGUGAAGAGAAAAGUAGUAAAUUCUUCAUUCGAAACUUCAAUCAUGGUCUAAAAAGGGUUGUUUGGAAAAAGAUUCCGGAAGACCACCAGGAAAUUACUGCUUGGAUGUGUUCAAAAAUCAAAAGGGCACACAGCAAGUCAAGCGUCCUGUAAAAAUGAUUGCUACUUGGCGGUGAGGAAAAGUUGCUACUAUCAACUUUUCCUCACCGCUAAGUAAAGAAAAAGAAAAAGAAGAUAGAUGACUAAUCUUUUGGAAUUGAGGUUGAUUUUUGUUAAUUUUUGUUAAAAUUUGGAUUUGUUUAGUAUUGUUAAAAUUUAGAUUUGUUUAGUGUUUUUGAAUUAUGUCAAAAUAUUUUUAAAAAAUAAAAAAAAUAUUAUAUUAAUAUAUUUUUUAAAUAAACACUUUAAAAAUCAAACUUUAAAUGAUUCCGGAAUUUCCCUGGCUAAUUGUGGCUUACUUAAUGGGUUGUGAAAAUCUUUUUUGAAGAAAGGUUUAUGAGAUAUUGAGUUGUCAAGGACUGUUUCUGAAUUUGUACCUACCGAUAUACAGAUUCCAAGAAACCCUCCAAUACUGUGUUUGAAAUAAAGAUGAUGAGAGGAUCAAUGUGAACUCCCCCCCUUAAUUGUGAGUUGGCUAUAGCAUCGUUUAAGUUGUUUUGAUCUUCUCUUAUUGUCUGAUCAUUCUAAUACACUCUUGUUUGAUCAUAUUUAGCCUUUAUUUAUGGGAUAUAAAAUACUCUCCCAACUAGCUUCUCUCUUUAUUUAUCAGGUGUAAUUAAGAUCUCAACUAGCUAGUCUUUGAAUAAUUAUAUCGUUUGUUUUCUUAUUGCUUGUUACAGGGAAAAAUUAUCACAAGUAGAAAGCUUACUUCUACAUAUAUCAAGCAUAUAAAAAUAUGGCUUCCACUUCUUCUCCCACUACUCCAUAUUUGAAGCUUGAUGUGUUCCUCAGUUUUAGAGGCACAGACACCCGCAAUAGUUUCACCAGUCAUCUUUAUGAUGCUUUGGAUCGAAACCAAAUUGAUGCUUACAUCGAUAAUAAACUUGAUGGAGGAGAAAAGAUCGAGCCUGCCCUCUUGGAAAGGAUUGAAGAGUCAUGUAUUUCGCUAGUCAUUUUCUCUGAAAAUUAUGCAGAUUCUACUUUCUGUUUGAGGGAACUCUCCAAGAUUCUUGAGUGCAUGGAGACCAAACAACAGGUGGUGUUACCAGUUUUUUACCGACUUGAUCCAAGCAAUGUUCAAAAUCUGACUGGGAGCUAUGGAGAUGCACUUUGCAAGCAUGAAAGAGAUUGCAGUUCUCAAGAAGUAGAGAGUUGGAGACGUGCUUUGAAAGAAAUAGCUAAUCUCAAGGGCUGGGAUUCAAACGUCAUUAAGUAAGUUAUUAAUUUAGUUACAGCAUAUUAAACCCCAACUUAUUUAAACCAUUUUGUUCGAGAAUCAAUAUCGUGUUUGAUGUUAUGAUAAAAUUUCUUAGGUUAUGACAGCAUGUCUUUGUUCUUUAUUUACUAUGCACUGCAGGGAUGAGACCAAGCUAAUUCAGGAAAUCGUUACUGACAUUCAAAAGAAAUUGAACCAUGAGCUGUCACCCUCAUUUGAUUCAAAACGCCUUGUUGGAAUGAAAUCACGCGUUGAAGACAUCGAAUCAUUACUAUCCUUUGGAUCAACCGGUGUGCUCAUCGUGGGAAUCUGGGGGAUGGGUGGUAUAGGUAAGUCCACAACUGCUGAAACUGUGUAUCAUCGAAACUGUAGUAAAUUUGAAGGCCAUUGCUGUUUCCAAGAUGUUAGGGAAGAAUCACGGAAGCAUGGAGUAGAUCAUGUACGACAGGAAAUUCUUGGCAAGGUAUUAGAGAAGAAUGAUCUCAAAAUACACGGAAAAGUGCUACCCUCGGCCAUUAAGCGAAUGCUUCAAAGAAAAAAAGUCCUCAUAGUUCUUGAUGAUGUCAAUGAUCCACAACAUUUAAAAUAUUUAGUAGGAGAGGAUGGUUUGUUUGGCCAAGGAAGUAGAAUCAUGGUGACAAGUAGAGAUAGGCGAGUUCUUGAAAAUGCAUGUGAUGAAGACAGAAUUUACGAGGUUAAAAUUUUAGAUGAAGACGAUGCACUUCGACUCUUUAGCCUACAUGCUUUUAAACAAGAUCGUCCCAUAGAAGAAUAUAUUGGGCUAUCAAAAACUGUGGUAAGCUGUGUUAAGGGCAUUCCAUUAGUUCUCGAGGUUUUAGGUAGCAGUCUAUACAAAAAGACUGGUGUUGAAUACUGGGAAAGUAAGGUGGCACAGCUAAGAACAAAUGGUGGCGAGGACAUUAAGAAACAUUUGGAAAUGUGCUAUCAUGAAUUAGAUCAGACAGAAAAGAAAAUAUUUCUUGAUAUAGCAUGUUUCUUUGGACGGUGCAAGAAGGAUUUUCUCCAGCAAACACUAGAUCUUGAAGAAAGAAGUGGGAUAGAUCGUCUCGCUGAUAUGUGUCUCAUAAAAAUUGUUCAAGACAAGAUCAAGAUGCAUGAUGUGCUCCUAAAACUAGGGAAAAAAAUUGUCCUCCAAGAAAACGUUGACCCUAGAGAACGUAGCAGGUUGUGGGAGGCUGAUGAUAUCUAUCGUGUAUUAACAACUCAGGUAACGUUUCCAAGUGAUUUAAUUGGCUGUUUCUUGACUUUCUUGUUUAUAGCUAAGAGAUGUAGCCUUGAACAAGAAUAAAUAUCAAGGCCAGCUUCUUCUUUCUUCUUCUUUAUUUGUUAUAUAUAUACUGAUUUACAGUUUGCUUUAAUUUGUUAAAUAGGGGACUGGAUCAAAAGUGGAAAGCAUAUCCCUCAUCUUGGAUGCAACUAAAGAUCAAUUGACAUUAACUCCUACAGCAUUUGAAGGGAUGUAUAAUUUAAGAUUGCUCAAAAUCUACAACCCACCUUUCUUAAAGGAUCCCUCAAAGGAGCAAAUUAUGAAUGGAAAGAGGGUCGGAAUCCACCUUCCACGAGGGCUUCACUUUCUGUCAAGUGAGCUAAGGUUUCUCUAUUGGUAUAAUUACCCUUUGAAAUCCUUUCCAUCAAUUUUUUUCCCUGAGAAACUUGUUCAACUUGAAAUGCCUUGUAGCCAGCUUGAACAACUUUGGAAUGAAGGCCAGGUAUGCUUUAUCAUCCUUCUUUUUCGAAUAUAGGACAUUUUUGAAAUUAUUCAUAACGCUUAUCUUUUCUUACAUUGCCUCUUUUUUUAUUUACAGCCACUUGAGCAGUUGAAAUCUCUUAAAUCACUUAAUCUUCAUGGUUGCUCAAGACUAGCAAGUCUACCACAUAGUAUUGGCAUGUUGAAAUCUCUUGACCAGCUUGAUCUUAGUGGUUGCUCAAGUCUAACAAGUCUACCGAAAAACAUUGACGCGUUAAAAUCUCUAAAAUUGCUUAAUCUUAGUGGUUGCUCAAGACUAGCAAGUCUACCAAAUAGUAUUGGCGUGUUGAAAUCUCUUGACCAGCUUGAUCUUAGUGGUUGCUCAAGACUAGCAAGUCUACCAGACAGUAUUGGCGCAUUGAAAUCUCUUAAAUCACUUAAUCUUAGUGGUUUCUCAAGACUAGCAAGUCUACCAAAAAGCAUUGGCAUGUUGAAAUCUCUUGACCAAUUUGAUCUUAGUGAUUGCUCACGACUAGCAAGUCUACUAGAAAGCAUUGGCGCGUUCAAAUCUCUUAAAUCACUUAAUCUUAGUGGUUGCUCAAGACUAGCAAGUCUACCAAAUAGCAUUGGCAUGUUGAAAUCUCUUAAAUUGCUUAAACUUCAUGGUUGCUCAGGACUAGCAAGUUUACCAGACAACAUUGGCGAGUUGAAAUCUCUUACAUCGUUUAAUCUUAGUGGUUGCUCAGGACUAGCAAGUCUACCUGACAGCAUUGGGGUGUUGAAAUGUCUUGCUAAACUUCACCUUACUGGUUGCUCAGGACUCGCAAGUUUACCAGACAGCAUUGACAAAUUGAAAUGUCUUGAUACGCUUCAUCUUAGUGGUUGCUCAAGACUAGCAAUUCUACCCAACAACAUUGGCGCAUUGAAAUCUCUUUACCAGCUUCAUCUUAGUGGUUGCUCAAGACUAGAAAGUCUACCCGACAGCAUUGGAGGGUUGGAAUGUCUUGCUAAGCUUCACCUUACUGGUUGCUCAGGACUAACAAGUCUACCAGACAGCAUUGACAGGUUGAAAUGUCUUGAUACACUUCAUCUUAGUGGUUGCUCAGGACUAGCAAAUCUACCAAACAAUAUUAACAGUUUGAACUAUCUUAUUGUGCUUAAUCUUUGUGGUUUCUCAAGACUAGCAAGUCUACCAAACAACAUUGGCGAGUUGAAAUCUCUUAAAUUGCUUUAUCUUAGUGGUUGCUCAAGACUAGCAAGUCUACCAGAUAGAAUUGAUGAGUUGAAAUCUCUUAAAUCGCUUAAUCUUAAUGGUUGCUCACUAGCAAAGUCUACCAGACAGAAUUGGCGAGUUGAAAUCUCUUGAAUGGCUUAAUCUUCAUGAUUGCUCAGGACUAACAAGUCUACCAGAUAGAAUUGUCGAGUUGAAAUCUCUUAAAUCCCUUAAUCUUAAUGGAUGCUCAAGACUAGAAAGUCUACCAGACAACAUUGGCGAGUUGAGAUGUCUUACUAUGCUUAAUCUUAGUGGUUGCUUAAAACUAACAAGUCUACCCAAUAGCAUUGGUACGUUGAAAAGGCUUUAUGCGCUUCACCUUACUGGUUGCUCAGGACUAGAAAGUCUACCAGACAGCAUUGACGAGUUGAGAUGUCUUACUACGCUCGAUCUUAGUGGUUGCUUAAAACUAGCGAGUCUUCCAAACAACAUCAUUGAUCUUGAAUUUAAAGGACUUGACAAACAGCAUUGUUAUAUGUUGAGUGGAUUCCAGAAAGUAGAAGAAAUUGCAUCAUCCACCUAUAAAUUAGGCUGCCAUGAAUUUUUAAAUUUGGGAAAUUCUCGUGUGUUAAAAACUCCAGAGAGAUUAGGCUCUUUGGUGUGGCUAACAGAAUUAAGAUUAUCUGGGAUUGAUUUUGAGAGGAUACCUGCCAGCAUCAAGCACCUUACUAAGCUAAGUAAACUCUAUUUAGAUGAUUGCAAGCGGCUUCGAUGUUUACCAGAGCUUUCAUCGACUCUACAAGUUUUAAUCGCAUCAGGUUGUAUCUCUCUAAAAUCUGUAGCAAGUAUAUUCAUGCAAGGUGAUAGAGAAUAUGAUGCUGCUUCUCAGGAAUUCAAUUUCUCUGGAUGCCUCCAACUAGAUCAAAAUUCACGCACUAGAAUUAUGAGUGCUACCCGUUUACGAAUUCAACGCAUGGCAACAUCAUUGUUUUCUCAAGUGAAUUCUUCCUCCCUUGAUCUUGAUUUAUUUAAAAAAAAUCAUGAUAAUUUUUUAUAUGUAUCUCACAUUCUCACUCUCUUCGGUGCAGGAAUAUCAUGGUAAGCCCAUUAGAGUUCGGUUGUGUAUUCCUGGGUCGGAAGUCCCGGAGUGGUUUAGUUAUAAGAAUAGAGAAGGAUCGUCAGUAAAAAUCCGGCAACUAGCUCAUUGGUAUCGUCGUUUCACUUUAUGCGCUGUUGUUUCAUUUGGCCAAAGCGGGGAAAGGCGUCCCGUUAAUAUUAAAUGUGAAUGCCAUUUGAUAAGCAAAGAUGGAACCCAGAUUGAUCUCAGUUCCUACUUCUAUGAAAUAUAUGAAGAAAAGGUGAGGAGUUUAUGGGAAAGGGAGCAUGUGUUCAUUUGGAGUGUCCACUCUAAGUGCUUUUUCAAGGAGGCCUCGUUUCAAUUCAAAUCACCGUGGGGAGCUACUGAUGUGGUGGUUGGGUGUGGAGUCCAUCCAAUGUUGGUCAACGAGCCUGAGCAACCAAUCCCUAAAACUGAUGGAAAAUGCUUGACAAACUCUUAAUCAUCUUCUAUUUGAAAGGGCAACGUGAUGCUAUGGAUGCAUGGUUUCGCUCGUUGACACUGGUAACUCAUGAUCUUCUCCUUUCUUUUUCUAUACAAAUAUGAGGCAACUCAAUUGGAUUGAAUCAAACAUGAAACCAAAUACUCUUAUGAAUUAGAGAUGAAAAGGAUAUAUUUAUCCUCCUACUUUAACAUGAUUCUUAACCAGGUCCCCGAACAAACAAAAUAAUAAUUAUAAAAAAAAAUUAAAUUAAGUUUUGACUCGGGUUAUUUUUUGUUUUUUUAAUAGAUUUUUUCUCAACUUCAUCUUUCAACAUUGAGUUGAUUAAAAAUUUAAAUUUAUGUAUUUUUUAUUGGCUUUCUACUGGGUUAUUGUAGUCUCAAGACCCGGGUCACAAGUUUGCGGGUUAGCAAGGUUGGCUUGAGUUUUUUUUUUUUUUUUUAAUUGAAUUUUUUUUUUCAUUUUCAUCCUUCAACAUUGGGUUGAUUGAAAAUUUGACUUAAUAUUUUAUUUUAUUUUAUUCUAUAUAUUUAUCUUGGUCUCAUAAUCCGAGUUUGGCAAGUUAACUUAAGUUGACUCAAGAUGUUUUUUUAAUUGAUUCUUUUCAAUUGAAUCCUUUAACAUUUGGUUGAUUGAAAAUUGUGCUUUGAAAUUUUUUUUCUAUAGGAUUAUCAUGGUCUCAUGACCCGGGUCGAUGGUUAGCUCGAUUGCCUCAAGUUUUUUUGUGUUCUUUUUAAAUGCAUAUGUUUUUCAAUUUCAUCCAUUAAUAUUGGGUUAAUUGAGAAUUAGGCUUCAUAAUUUAUUUUAGUUUGCUUUCUAUGAAGAUAUCCCGAUAACAUGACUCGGGUCACAGGUUUCGUUUGUUAACUCGGUUUGUUUUUUCGUGUUUCUUGUUAAUUGUUUUUUUUAACAAUUUUAUUCUUCAACAUUAGGCUGAUUGUGAAUUCAGUUUCCUUAUUUUGAUCUGACGAGCAUUGUAGCACGGGAAAUUAUCUAGUAUUAACCAUAAAAUAAAAGAGGAGAGGUUUUUAUUGUACCUCUCCUCACAAAGCACUAUUCAUUGGACUAAUGAUUUGCUUUUUUUUUUCUUUGCUUUUUUUUUUCAAUCAAUGUUUUUUUUUUAGUUUUAUCCUUCAAUUUUAAAUUUAUUUUUUUAUAAAGUUAUCUCACUCUCAUAACAAAAAUCGCUAGUUUGAUACAUGUCAAAUCAUGUUGACCAGGGUAAAAAUGAGUUUCAAACCGUUUUGGGUCAAAACUAUCAUUUUCAAUCAAAUUAGGUUUAUUGAGAUAACUUUUACACAAUUUAAUUUUAAAUCAAAAUCAGACAAGAAGUUAGGUUUGAAGGUUUUUUUUUCUUAAUUUUAUUUUUUUUAAUUUUAUCCUUAUAUUUUUUUACAGGAUAACGGGGAUGCCUUUGAACUUUAAUUUUAAACUUAGGUUAGGUAAAAAGUCAGAUUAAGAAAAUUUUAAAUUGAAUCAUUAGGCUGAAUUUAAUAAAAAUAUCAAGUAGUUCUCAACGACUUGAAUACUUUUUAUUAUAUUAAAAAAUAAUUAUACAGCCUCCAGCAAACUAAUAAAUAAUAUUUAGAAGACUUCGGAGUAAUUUAUAAGUAAUUAAAGUAGAAAUAGAAAAACAAAACAAAAAAAAUCUAAAUGGGCUUCGAUCUGUUACCAAUCAGACCAUACCAGUACAUAACCCAAAACCAAAGGCCGAAUUCAUUCUAUCUAUCCAAGCCGAAGGCCCAACUCUACCAUUUCAAAUUAAAACGCUCCGUCCCUCCCAAUCCCAAACCUAAACAAACAACAUCAUAUAGCCGUUAGAAACCAACAGCUCCCAUUUCAAGCUUCAAAUUCCCAAUUUUAAACCCUAAAAAUCUUUCACCUUUCUAAUUUUCUCCCUCUCUCAAUUUCAAGCCCUAAAACAUGAACGGUACUCCCAUCUAUUUCUCUGUAUCGAUCGAUACGCAUAAAUUGAAUUAUUUUAUUUUAUUUUUAUGGUUCUUGUUUUAUAGAUCGAAAUUGUUUGAUUUCUCUCAGAUCUGACAGUCCAAAUGAUUGAAGAGAUAUGCGAUCGUUCAAGACCGUUCAAAUUUCCGAUUCCAGCCCUUCUCUCUCUUCGACCACAGGUUAGAAGAAGUAGCUUCACUUUGUUUAAUUAAUAUUUCUCUGAAAUUGAUUUUUUAAAAAAAUUUCAGUUGAAUCUGUAGAAGAUAAGAAAUUCGAUACAGGUUCUUGUUUUUAUAAAAAUAUAUAUAUUAGAAAUUAUUUGUUUAAGUACUGAUUAUCAGUUUAUUUUUUUAUAUUUUUUGCUUCUGCUUAGACUUAGAAAUUGUAAUUUUGAAUUAUUUAAUUUUAUUUGUUAUUGAAUUUAAUUGUUUAUUUAUCUUUUUAAUUCUAGGGUUUCUAAAAUUUUUAAAGUCGUUUUUAAUCAAGAGAAAAAAAGAGAGUUAAAUUGAGUCAAAUUCGGUGCUGUAGAACUGUAGACAUUUGUAUUUUAUAUUGAAAUUGUUUUGACUGAAAAAGGUUAUUUUGAUUUUAAUGAGUUUUCAGGAGAAACUAUUAAUUCGGAGGAGGAGAGCGUAUCAAAUAGAAUUCGACAAGUUUACCCAUCUCAGGGGCCAACACCGCCCAUUUUGCAGAAAAUUAUCAAUUUAAGUGAUAAAAUUCAGGUACUUAUUUUGAACUUUGGUGUUGUUGGGUAUCGUAUAGAUGACUUGAAAAGACUUGGUUUUAGUUGUAGAAUUCAGGCAAUUUUAAAUUUCAUUGUUUUAGCUAGUAAAUUAGGAUUUUGCAUUAUUAUGUUGAUGGGGGUAUUGAUUUGUUUUCUUUCUUUGAAUUUAAUUGUUGUUGUUUCAGAAUUUGAAGAAAGAACACUCAAAUCUCUCUAAUCAAGUAAAGACUGCCAAGGAUUCCUUUCUUGGCCCCAAUAUUUUAGACACCCUUCAAAAACUCGGUGAGUAUCCAAUAGUGAAACUAAUUUAUUUCUUCUUUUCAUUUUUUAUUUUUUUUUGAGGGGUUUGGUUUGAUAGUUUACUAGUUGAAAUAUUGGUCAGGUAAUGAAUAUGAACUUCUUAAAAAGAAGUAUCUACAAGAGUUGUCUGAGAGGAAGAGGCUUUACAAUGAGGUGAUCGAGCUUAAAGGGAAUAUUAGGGUCUUCUGUAGAUGCAGACCACUAAAUCAAGUCGAAAUAACAAAUGGUUCGAACUAUGUAGUUGAAUUUGACUCUUCCCAAGAUAAUGAGUUGCAGAUCAUUUCCUCUGAUUCUUCCAAAAAGCAAUUUAAGUUCGACCAUGUUUUUGGGCCUGAGGAUAAUCAAGGUGAUCUGAUGUUUUAUUUUAUGUAUUGCUACUGCAGCCAUCCUGUUAAAGAUUAUUUGUGCAAUUGAAGCAUCUAAUCCUUUGUCUCUAUGAUAUGCAGAGGCUGUUUUUGCACAAACUAAACCAAUAGUCGCUUCAGUUUUGGAUGGCUACAAUGUCUGCAUAUUCGCCUAUGGACAAACUGGAACUGGAAAGACGUUUACUAUUGAGGGCAGCCCAGAAAAUAGGGGAGUGAACUACAGAACAUUAGAUGAGUUGUUCCGAGUUUCUCAAGAGAGAAGUGGCAUUAUGAGAUAUGGUCUUUUUGUUAGUAUGAUGGAGGUUUACAAUGAGAAGAUAAGGGACCUCUUGAUUGAUAGUUCCAACCAACCGCCUAAAAAGUUAGUUUCCUCUUUUAUUGCUACUGUAUUGAUCUGAUAAUCAAAAUAUAGUCAUUUAUGUUGAAUUUUUUGGUUGCGAAAAUUUUAUAUUAAUAAUUUUCUGUAGCUCUGAUUUAUAUCAUUUUGCUACUAGAUGAUAAUUAACUAUUGGUUAGUACAAACAUCAUGCGUGUGGCUAUUUGACAAGAAAAGUGGAACAUGGAAGUUCUGUAUUAGCCCAAUUUUCAUUUGAGCACUCUAUCUGCAAAUGAUAAUAAAUUCCUUGCUCCUCUCUAGUGUAGAUAAGCAUGACAUCUAAUUGGGUUUAGGGUUUAAAAGAUUAUGUACAAGACUCCUAUUUGGAAGCCCAUUGGUAUGAAAGAUUUAAAGUCUAACGAUAAGAAAUUGAGUUACAUGAAUGAAGUUUGAUGAAAUUUUAGUUUUUCUUACAUGCAUAAAGGUUGGAGAUAAAACAAACAGCUGAAGGAACACAAGAAGUCCCAGGACUUGUUGAAACUCGGGUGACUGUCACAGAGGAUGUGUGGGAUUUACUCAAGUCUGGAAGUCGGGCCAGGUCUGUUGGAUCAACCAGCGCUAAUGAGCUUAGCAGCCGUUCUCAUUGGUAAAAAUGAACUCUGCUUUCUUUUCUUGGUUUAUUCUUUCUAAGAAUAUACUUUAUGGAUCACAUAUAAUAGCAAAUUAACUAGUUUUUUGUAUCUGUGAAUUAACUAUUCAAGAAAUAUACUGAUUAAUUGAAGUGGUAGUACUAAUGACCACAACAUUGUUGGUCCGUAAUUUGUUGCGAGUAACAGUGAAAGGAGAGAAUUUAAUAGAUGGACAAAAGACAAGAAGUCACCUAUGGAUGGUCGAUUUGGCUGGUAGUGAACGUGUGGGAAAGAUUGAUGUUGAAGGUAAAAGAUUGAAGGAAUCGCAAUUCAUUAAUAAAUCUCUUUCAGCACUUGGUGAUGUUAUAUCUGCCCUCGCAUCUAAAACUGGCCACAUUCCUUACAGGUCUUUCUCUCACACAGUCACUCUUGUAAAAUGCUAUCCAAUUACCAUAUUAAUGAAGAUAUCUGUUUUCUUCCGAUCAGGAACUCAAAGCUAACCCAUAUGCUACAGAGCUCUCUCGGUGAGUAUUAAGUUUACUAUUUUUUAUGGUUGCUAGUCACUCUUAUUGUCUUGUUUGUCAGUAAAUGACGCUAAGUGAAACAUGAAUGCAGGAGGAGAUUGUAAGACCUUGAUGUUUGUCCAAAUAAGUCCAAGUGCUACUGACCUUGGAGAGACGCUUUGUUCACUAAAUUUUGCGAGUCGAGUGCGAGGAAUUGAAAGUGGUCCUGCCCGCAAACAGGCUGAUCUCACUGAACUUUUCAAAUACAAGCAAAUGGUAUACAUAUACUGCUAGUAUUUGAUGAAAUUUCUUUUGUCUCAGUUUCUUUUAUCUUGAUUCACAUUUUCUUUCCUUCUUUCUUUCCUUUUUUAAUUACAAAUAAUCAGGUAGAAAAGUUAAAGCAUGAUGAGAAGGAAACAAAGAAGUUGCAGGAUAGCUUUCAAUCAUUGCAAUUGAGGCUUGCUGCUAGAGAACAUAUCUGCAGAACUCUCCAAGAAAAGGUAAUUAUGAUGGCUUGAGCUCCAUUUAAUGCUUUUUUAUUUAUUUAUUAUUACUAUGAAACAUGUGGAAAAUUUAUUGGAGCUGUUUUUUCGUUUUUCUUUUGCUUUUAUUGUCCCUUAAAUGGCAUUUUUAAGUCAUUUUGUAGACUAACAAAUAACUUUUCUUACAAUAGGUUCGAGAGCUUGAGAAUCAGUUAGGUGAGGAAAGAAAAACUAGACUAAAGCAGGAAACACGAGCCUUCGCCGCUGAUGCUUCUCAGUCUACGAAACAAGUAGUAGAGAACAGAAAAGUAGAUAAGAAGCCACCUCUGUGUCCUUCAAAGUUGAGGAUGCCGUUGCGAAAAAUCACCAAUUUCAUGCCUCCGCCACCUCUACAAAAACAGAAAACUGGUUCUGUUUUAUCUUCAAUACAUGACAAAGAAAACAAUCCAAGAACCACAAAUGCAGGAGCAAAUACAAAAAGCCUUAUGAAACCCAGACGUAUGUCUGCUGCAGUCAGACCUCCUCCUCCAAUGUCAGCACAGGUUUUUCAGCCUAAGAGACGGGUAUCCAUUGCUACCUAUCGUUCAGAGCCAACCUCAAACAUGACUACACCACUUCAAACCUCGCGAUAUAAAAAUGGGAAUGUAGUUGGCAGGCAGUCAUUUGUCAGGGACACAAGAAAGCCAAGGAAUUCAAAGCUGUUCUCUCCAUUGCCAGAGUUCAGGACUGC
rnacentral:lncRNA from 1 species